rnacentral:lncRNA from 1 species
UUUUUAUUUCUUUUUUGUCUUGUCCUAUUUUCAACUACCAUUUUCAUAAAUUUAAACUCCUUCCAUGGUAAAAAGUGUUGACAGAAAUUUUAGAGUUAAAUAUAUAUCUCACUGAUUUAAAUUUAAUAGUCAAAUUAGUUUAUUAUUUGUUUUUAAAUCAGGACUCAUUUAAAUUAUGUGGUUCAAAAUCAUGAUUGAAAUUAAUACAAACAAUUUUAUUGCUUGAUAGUUUAACCCUCAGAUUCCUGUUAGGUCUAAUUCUCUCAAAAAAUUCCUUUUUAUCUCUUUCUUAGAUUCCAUUUUGUAUUUUAUGCUCUAAUUAGUCUCUAACUCUCCAUGGGAAACGGCACCUGCACUUAAGUUUCCAAUGAUGAUAUUGAAGAUAAAUUUCUUCAUUUUGUUUGGUCCUAAAUUUCCUCAAUUUUCUGUUUUUACUCCACUACAGAUAUAGAAUAGGAAUUAUUUUUCACUCAAAUCAUUCAAAUUCCAUCGAAUACUUAUUUUAUAGGGAAGAGGAUUUAAUACAUUUUGAAUCUUUAAAGAAUAGAGUAAAGCUCGGAUAUGGCGGAGAAGACGAAUGGGGUAGGGGUGGAUUUGAUUUUCGUGGAGAAGACGAUUGGUGUUGGCGGGUAGGGGGUGGGGGAUAGGGGUCAGGGGUGGUUUGGUAUUCUGCAAAACACUUCUUUUUAGAAGUGAUUAAGUUUUCCUUUUGUAAUUAUUUGGGAAAAAUGCCACAUGUCAUCAAUUCACUUGUUAUCUUUUUGGUUAGACCAAAAUUCAUUGUUUAAGAAUUAUUUUGGGGGAAAAUGACAAAUGUCCUUAUUUUAUUGGACACUUUACAGGUCACUCGUGAGUGUAACGCACGCACAUUAUAUAUUUUCGCUUAUUGAAAAAAAAGUGUCAAAAUGACAUAACGAAACCCUAUAUGAGGUGUCUAAAGUGAACAUCCUUCAAUUGAGGUGUCUAAGUGAAAGAUUGUGCCAAAUUUAGGGGGGCAGCGAUGGGUUUGGCCUUUAUCUUUAUACCAGUUGAUACUGGUUGUAUUCAUCACCAUCAUGAGGAUGCCAAUGGGGCGGGGCAAAUGUGGGGUGGGAUGGAUUUAAGACUAUGAAGAGUGGAAAAAGUUUAAGAUUGUGUGGGACGGAUUAAAAUGGAUUUUUUUAAAAUUAAUGCGGGAAGGGAGAAAAUUAAAUGGCUUGUAAAUUAAUUUUAUCCAAUAAAAAAAUGUCACAUAAUAAAUAAUAAUUUAUUUAUUUUUUUAAAAAAUGGCCGUUAAAAUUGAGGAUAGAAAUGAAUAAAAAAGGUGGAUUGAAGGGUAUUUUUAGCUCAAUAGGUGAAUGAGGGGUAUAGAUAAACUUUUUCUAAUAAUCCAAGAAUAUUUGUGGCCAUUUUCCGUAUAAUAAAUACAACGUUUUGAAAAGUAACUAUAAUUAAUGAUAAUGGUCUAUGAACAUGAAGAUAUAGUUGCGGAGGAUAUUGACCAACAAAUGCCUCAAAGUAACAAUGUUGGUUCGUCUUCUCGGUCACAUGAUCGAGAAAUGCAAGUUCAACAUGAGGAAAUUGUCCGUACUACGUGGGAGGAUUAUAUUAAAGACUAGUACACUACAAUUUAUGUUCAAUUUUUUUUAUUAAAUUAAAGUUAGAUGAAACAAUUACUUAAGUGGAGAACAAAUAACUUUGUAAUAAUUUAUUAUGCGAUUUUAUAAUUUUUUGUUUAUUUGAUAAGAUUGAAUAAACAAUUUGGGCUAUUUUAAUAGUUUUACAACUUAUCAGAUUUUUAUGUUUAUGAGAAAACAUACAACAGAAAAAUUUCAUAUCGCAUGUCCAAACAAACCUUCAAUUUCAUCUCAUGAUUCCAUAUCAUAAUACCAUAUCAUGAUACCAUAUCGCAUGGCCAAACGGGCCCUUAGACUUUUCCUAAAAAGUACUAAAGGAAAUUAUUUUGUUGUGAUCAUUGGUUUGUUCACAUAAUAAUCCUAACUUAUUCUAGUAUUAGUAUUCUUAUUGUUGAAAUUAUCUCAUGCAGGGGAGGGGGGGGGUGGUUAUAUAGUGUAUUUCACAAAAUUUAGUGAUGCAUGAUGCGAAAAUAAUUUUCAAUCUUUUUUUCCAUAGUGUCAUGGUAGGUAUUCAACUAAAGCUAUUGCUGCAACACCGUCGAAGAAGAAGCAUCACACACAAAAAAGAAGAAGAAAAGGAACUAGCUAAAAUGUUAAACGUAUUAUAUUUUUUUAAUUAUAUAUUUUAUGGGUAAUAAUAUAUCUAUCCCAAAUCAUAGAAAUUUUGUAAUUUUGUUGACUCGAUAUAAUUAAUUUAAAGAUAUAUUUUUUGGUUUAUAUAUAUAUAUAUAAAAUCGGAGUUGAAAUUGGAUAUGCAAACUUGGUAGAUUGAAGAUAGUUAAAAUAAACUAUUGUUUUAAAAAACUUCAUGAGAACACACUUCUUCAUAACUUUCAUUAUGGAUUUGUCAAUUUGUCUUUGAAAACGUUUUUUUGGGUUGAUGUUCUAUCAUAAAUAACAUAUUUACCUUAUACAAGGCAAGAGUAAGAUUUGCAUACAUUUAUCUUUUCCAGAUCUUACUUGUAGAACCACAUUGAAUAUGUUGUUAUUGUUGAAAGAUCAAUUUAGGAGGAAGAAGAAGAACAACAAUAUACCCGAAAAAUUCACAAGUGAAAUUAAGGAUAAAAUAUAUACAGAUCUUAUCUCUACACAAGAAUAGAGACAUUUGCCUAUAAAUAUAAAAUAUUAUUUUAUUUCAAAAUUAAUUAUUUAAAAUUAUAAUCACACUACUAAUCAAUCGACCGCUUUUACGAAAAAAUAAAUAAAUAAAAAAUCGACCACUUAUAUAUAUAUGGAGGAAGAAAGAAUAAAGAUUUAUGUAAAUUUCUGAAGAAUUAAGAGAAAUUACCGAAAGACCCACGCCGAGGUUCCCACAACUCAACUUGCCUAAUUCCUUGCUCUGAGUAGGGUUGCAGCAGAUAAAAGCCACCAUUCCUAUGGUAUUUCUUCUCUAUCGCAGCCCUUAAAUACAAAGCCCUCACUUUUUCACUUCCAAUCUAUCGAUCUUUCACUCGAUUCGCUCUAUAUCUCAACAAUCUCCGCUCUGCAACAAUGGGGGCUUCACUUCCUCCAAAAGAGGCCAACCUCUUCAAACUCAUAGUUGUAAGUCUUCAAUUCUAUUUCCUAUCUUCUACUUCAAUCGAUGCUUUCUUCACCGUGAAUUGUUUUCACUUGAAUUUUAUUGGUCGCAUCUAAUAUUUUUUUUCCGUUUAUGUUGAUUUAGCCCUAGAAUUCAUGACAAUUACUUUCACUGAAUUGGAUGUCUGAUUGAAUGUUACUGUAAUUCUUACUUAGCUUUGCGAAUUUGAACUAAAGAUUGUGACUUUUUCAAGAUCCUGUGGCGGUGGAGACAUAAUUUAUUUGUUCUGUCAGGAUGGAACAUCAUACAUGUGUAUUACAUUAUUCAUGUCAAGUGUCUGUUUUUAAUGAGUGGCCGACUGAAUAAUGUUGUUAUCAUCAAGAACUGAUUUUUUUUUGAUUUGUUUAUUAAUGCAAGUGCUUUUUUACUCAUCUGCCCAUUUACACAAGCGUCAGUCUUUUUAUUAGUUUUGAGUUAAUUGGAUAGCAUUCCCUUUCUGGAUCUUUGUUAAGGGCGACUCUUUAUCCUAUCUGAUUAUGUGAAGUGGAGAAGAUCAUGAUUACAGACCGGCAGUAACACUUCCGCAGAAUAUGUUUUGAAUAGUUUUAUUUCAUAGCAUUUGUGGUAAUUGAUAAUUGUUUCCUUCAGUCUUCAAUUUAGCAUCCUGAAUCAUUCAAGUAAAGGUUGUGAAGUGGCAGGAGUCCUUGCUGGAUUUAACUACCAAGUCACAUAAACAAGAUUUUCCUUUCCUAGCAUGUAGUUCAUGGGGACAAAAUAUGUUAUUUUCUUUUAGUAGAUUGACAUAUUGUUAUCUGAUUGACAUUGUUUAGAUGACUGCAUAAGACGAUUAAGUUAAUUUUAUUUGCGAGUGUAUGUCCUCAUUCUGACUAUCAAUGACUUGAUAUGAAGAUAUGGUCUGACUCUAUCUUUAAUCCAUUUCUGGCAUUGUUAGUUGUUGAAGACAUGGUUAAUUUAAUACCCUAUUCCUCAAUUCCUGCAGAAAUCUUACGAGACUAAGCAGUAUAAGAAAGGACUAAAAGCUACUGAUACGAUUCUCAAGAAGUUUCCUAAUCAUGGAGGUAAGUCCAAUUUUAUUGCAGCAUAUCAAAAAUGGAAUUUAAAAAUAAAGCAUUGGUUCCUUUUGACGGUACCACUAGACAGGAACAUCAGUUUGUUCAUUUUAAAAUUCUUUGAUACAUCUAUAUGCAUGAAUUCCACUCUAUAGCCAUUUCUACCAUGUUAGAUUGUUAGAUUCAAAUAAUUAACUAGCUUCACUCAUUCAAGCAUCUAACUUAUUCUCUCAGUGGUAUAUGCCAGAAGGCAGUAGGACAUAAGUUUCCAUCCGAGCAACAAGCUUUUUGCUACCAAAGUUAACUGGAGGCAUAUUUCUAGUCGGUGCUGUGUACUCUCCUUUUUGUUGCUCCCAAUAUUAUGAGGGAUGGAGAAACAAACACAUGCGCCAAAUAUUUAGGUGUUUUUAGACCUUGUCUGGUUUUAUGAAGUAGCAGUGAUCGAUGAAGUUGUCCUUCGGGGACAUCCAAUAAAAUUGCACUGUAGAUGCUGACACCAACUACAGUGGUUUCACUGUGCUCCUGCUUACACCUUAUAUAAGUCCGAGGAUGUCUAAGUUAAAAUAGUAUCCAUGAAUUCAAGGGUAGAGCUAUCUUGGAGAAAGGGGGUUCAAUUCACUAAAAUUAUGAAAAAAUAUUUUUGGGGUUAUAUAUAAGCUGCUUCGACAUAAGGAAAAAUUCCAGUAGAAGUGGUAAAGGAGGUAAGAAUUUCUCACAUGUUCAAAUCCCUCACCACAACGAUCGCCACUGCCAGGUUAUUGGAGCUGCCUUGGACAGGUGCACCACCAAUACCGCCUGUGACGAUGUUGAAAAUCUUGGCAUGUGGCUGUUGUCUGGGGAUCAACAUCGAACUCGAGGGCUUCACCUUCGACUAAGUUGGGUAAGCCUUUAGAUUUGAUACCAGAUUGGUGACAACGAUCAUUAGGAGCAAUGAAACUGAAACUUUCGGCACUGAACCACCUCACUGUACCCUCGAUCCUAAUUCCCCGUUCACUCUCCAAUGCCAUUGUUGUCUCCCAUAGAACCUAAAGACCAUGUCAAAACCAUAAUUUAUUUUUCCUCCCCUGAUAUUAACUGGUUUUGUCUCAUUUGAGACACAUUUGAGACACAUUUGAGAGCUGAAUCUCAGGGUAGGACUAGGGUAGGUGCUUCCCCUAACUUAGGCCGUGCUUCAGUGUAGGAAAGAUAUUAAGGUAUGUCCCCAUUGAAAUAAGUUGUAUCGUUAAUAGAGGAAUACUAAAAAAAUAAAUACAUGGAAAAGAGAUAUGUUAAUUGUUAAGGACAAUCAGUAUGUAUGAAGUUGUUUUUUUAUUGCAUUUACAUAAAUGUUCCUACUUUUGCUUCAUUGCAUUUUUUAGAACUAAAGCUCACAUAUUAAUUGCGCUUUGCUGUUAAAAGUCCCGAUAGACACAUGAGCAUUUUUUCACUCUUUUCGCCUUGAUAACACUGACAUUAUCAUCAACGUGGCUUUUGACGAUGCAGUAACUGAUGUACGGGCUAUCAAUAAGAUACCCACAUUCUAUGUUGAUUGCCAUUUUUUUCUGCGGAUGCUGAUGCUAUUGUUUACUUCGUUUUGUGGUUACCAGAAACAUUGUCAAUGAAAGGAUUAACAUUGAAUUGUAUGGACCGGAAGUCAGAAGCAUAUGAACUUGUCCGGCUUGGAUUGAAGGUGUAGUUUUCCUCUUUUUUUUUUCUUUUUCAUUUUUGGAAUUAAAAGCACAUAGUGCUUUAGAUUGGAUUCCCUUAUUUUGAUAAGGGCUUUAGGUUGGAUUCUUAUUUGUGAUGUAUUGGAAUUAAUUGUCUUCCUCUCUUUGCAGAAUGACCUUAAGAGCCAUGUUUGUUGGCAUGUUUAUGGUCUCCUAUACCGGUCUGAUAGAGAGUACCGAGAAGCAAUUAAAUGCUAUCGAAAUGCCCUCAGGAUUGAUCCUGACAAUAUUGAGAUAUUACGAGACCUAUCCCUUCUACAGGUGGGACUCUUCUGGUCUUCUUUGUACCAAAUAUUUCAGUUUUUGUUCGUCUUUCUUUCUUUCUGACCAUUUGUGCACUUCAGCUAGUCUCCUCUUAUAAUCUUCUCCCUAUUUGGUAGUAUUAGUUAGUAAUUCAGGUAGGAUCUUAUCCUCCGAUCUUUACUAGUACCUGUCGCUUUAUUUGCUGUGUACUUCUUGUUAUUUUGCUGUCGUUAUUUUCUUUUCAUUCUUGCUUUGAUUACUCUUCUUUCGAUCCACGGGUUCUACCGGAAACAACCUCUCUAUUCCAUAAAGGUAGGGGUAAGGUCUGCGUAGACUGUAGAGCCUCCCCAGACCCUUUUGUGAGAUUAGUCUGGGUAUGAUGUUGUUGUGUGCACUUCAAUUAUCUUUCUUUCCCCCCUUUGGCUCGGCUCAUCAUACCUAAAGCCUCAUUGAAGUGCUUUCUAGUGUUCAAUGUUAUGUGCUUAUGUUCUUCCCAGUUGUGUUCCUUGAGGAGUUCUCUACUCCACAAAUAGUAUAGUAAGCAGAUUGGAUAGGAAGUUAUUGUAUUUAGAAGAGGGCGGACUAGAAGUUCAUCAUAUAUAGUUAUGAUUUUUGCCAUUAUUUUUCCGUUGAUACUUAGUUUCAUUUUAAAGUGCCUUGUGAAAAAAAUGUUUUUGGAAGUGCAGACCGUUUGUAUUUUAUUCCUUCUUUCAUUAAUGCGAGUGCUAUUUUUGAAGUCUUAUACAGUGUUGAUUUCCAUGCCUUCUCUUGUUGAUCCAAGUGCAGUUUGACUUUUGACAUGUACUUAUGCUCAUAUAAUUAUGUCCAUAGAAUUUCAACAAUUCAUUGUGUGCUCUUUGAUGUGGCAUAUCUGUAGUCAUCUUCUUCAGUUGGGUUCUUAAGACAGUGUUAUUACACGGAGCUGCUGAUUUCACAGAAACAUGUAGAUGUGCACGUCUGGCCCAUACCAAUUGCAUAUUCUGUUUUAAUAUGUGCUUCAAUGAAUUGCUCUGACUACCUUUUCGCAUUCAUUGUGAAGUUCGUCUAUCCUGCUCCAUCCAAUUUAUGCAUUGAUUUGUGUUUUCUUACAGGCACAAAUGCGCGACUUGGAAGGUUUUGUUGAAACAAGACAGCAAUUGCUCACUCUAAAACCAAAUCAUCGUAUGAACUGGAUUGGCUUUGCCGUUGCUCAUCAUUUAAACUCAAAGUAUGUGUCGCUUCUAGUAUGGUAGAGAUAUCUACUUUGUUUUGCUGACCUCUUUGAGGACUGCUGCAUUAUAUGUUUUUUCUGAUGUUAAAACAUCCAUGUGGGGGAAUAAUAUCAGCACCUAAAUUCACCUGAUUGAAAUUUUACAGCUGACUUUCUCUACUAAUCAGUAUCAACUACCAAGGAGGUAGCAAAAGACUGCAAAAAUGCGGACUUGUCUCAACACAUGAUGGAGUCCAAGUCCAAUACUAUCUCCAUUUACAUUUUCAGUGCUUCUCCUUCACCAAAUAUAAAAUUUGAAAACAUUUGACUUUACAAAACUGACAUUCCCUUUUCUUAUCUAAAAACAGGAAAUUGGCAGUUGGUCGACUUUCUUAGUUCCUUUGCUCUUUUAAUUUCAUUUCUCUUGUUAGAUUCCACCAAUAGCACCUCUUUUGAGUUUAUGUGUGGACAGGAUUUAGGUUGCUUAAGUGGGUGAGUUGAUAUCAAGUCUUAUUCAGUAUUUAGCUAAUUUGUUUCAGUAGAAAAAAGAAAAUUACUCUUAGAUAACUGAAGCAUGAAGGUGCCGGAGAUGUUUUAUCACUAUGUUGUACUGUUUGAGUCUUUCUUAUCACUAUUGACAUGGAUUUCUAUGUUGUUGAAAAACAAUAAGAUAAAUCAGAAGGGCCAAGAAAUCAAAAGUCGGCAUAACGCUUGAAGUUUGAUAUAACCAGUGGCGUGAAUGUGUUGCAUCUUCAGAACUUAUACUUUGUAGUGUUAAGAAAAAGUUCAGCAUUUUCAUUAUUGUUACUUCAGUGGUUUCCUUUGCCUGAAGUUUCUAAGUUGUUUAGUAUUAUCAGUCAUGGGGGUAAUGGGUACUCUUGUUGUUGCUGCUAAGUGCUUAUCACCGUUUAUUUCACAAAUAUUUGUGCCCUUGAGAUUCGUUAUCAUUCAGUUCUAUUAUCUAAUCCGUGGAUGUUGAGGUAGUUCCCUUUGUUGUUUGUUAGUGGAUCAAAAGCUGUUGAUAUCCUUGAGGCAUAUGAAGGGACUCUUGAUGAUGAUUACCCUCCAGAGAAUGAACGUUGUGAACAUGGGGAGAUGCUCCUGUACAAGGUAACUGUCACUGCUAGGAAGAGGGUAUUACUUUUGUUUAAGAUUUUAUCUUUAUCUGAGGGACUGUGUUUGGUAGCAGCCAAGACACUUGUGCAAAUACCAAUCUGCUUUAGCUUGGUACUGUUAAGGUUUUGCACUUUCAGGCUUGAAAAUUCCCAAAGUUCACUUAUUUGCACUUCCCCUUUUUCAGAAAUUAAAUUUAGUAUGAGAGUGGUUUUUCAAGCUGGAAAAGUAUACAUUGCAGUUGAAAUUGCAUAAAAAAGGAGAGUAUACAUUGCAGUUGAUUUAGCUCCGUAUUCAGAAAGUUGUCUAUCAGUGAAGUGUAGUCCAUAGUUGCACACGUAAAAAGUGACUGGUCCAAUCUGUUGUAGUGUUUCUGAUCAAUACUGUUCGAGGUAACCUGAAAUUGCUGCUUAGGAUAGCUACAGCAUUGUGUUAUAGUCAAGCCUAAUACUUAAGUUGCUUUAUAUCUGGAUAGGAAAUUUAGGAUGCUCAUGAGUUAUCCGAAAACAUUUUGCUUCUGUAGUCGCUGGUCAUCCUUAGCUAACAAUUUAACAUAGAUCCAGUGUAGUGUUUCUGAUCAAUACUGUUCGAGGUAACCUGAAAUUGCUGCUUAGGAUAGCUACAGCAUUGUGUUAUAGUCAAGCCUAAUACUUAAGUUGCUUUAUAUCUGGAUAGGAAAUUUAGGAUGCUCAUGAGUUAUCCGAAAACAUUUUGCUUCUGUAGUCGCUGGUCAUCCUUAGCUAACAAUUUAACUUUUUUUUUUUUUUUUUUUUUUUUUUUUUGGGGGGGGUGGGGGGAGGUUCUCGUACUAACUUGGUGGUGUUUCUUUUGAUGAAAUGUACUAUUUGAUGGUGUUCACUUGGCAUUGUUGAUUGUGGAGGUUUUAGAUAUGAAUUGCCUCUUUAGGAUGCUGCUGCUUAAUUCUGCAACUUCGGUGUCAUGUGCUUUUUGACUAUUUCAGAUCUCUUUAUUAGAGGAAUGUGGAUUUCCUGAGAGGGCUCUUGAAGAAUUACGCAAGAAGGAGUCGAAGAUGGUACACAUAAUUUAGUGCCAUGAAAUUGUUUUCAAAUUAGGAAUGGGUAUUGACUAAUAUUAUGCCACCUCAGGUUGACAAAUUGGACUAUAAGGAGCAAGAAGCUUUACUUAUUUUGAAGCUUGGCCGCUUUGAGGAAGGUGAAAAGUUGUUCAGAGUGCUUCUCACCAUGAAUCCUGACAAUUACAGGUACAUAAUUAUCUAAUUUGUUUGUUUGAACUUUGCUGUAACUUAUAGUAGAUGCCUUCAUGUAAUAAAAUCAGUGUCAUCAGGUGAGACUAUACCUAAAUCAUUUCUAUUUGUGUAAAUCUUUCUUUUCGAAAUCAGGUGUUCGUCACAAGAUUAGUAUCACAUGUUGUUCUCCUGAGGCAUUUCCCCCCAAUAUUUAUGCCAAGUACAAAAUGGAAUUCUAAAUUCAGGUUUCUGUUGUUUGGUACACUGUUUUGGAACAUCAGAAAGAAACUGAUUAGUGAUAAAUAUGUAGCUUUUGUCUUUAGCUGCGUCCUUUCAAAAUGUUUGUCUUUGUGUUUAUUUAGUCCCUUCUGUUUUGGCCAUUUUCUUUUUGAAAAAGAACUACACACACAUGCAACUUCAAGUCUCCCAACUUCUUAAUUAGUUGUUUUUUUUCCGUAAUAUCUGUUUUUCUGUGUUUACGAAGUGGACCAAAUUAAGCAAAAUAACCUUAAAAAGUAUUAUUCACCUCAUGAUUCAGGGUCCUGGUUACUGUUUUUUAUUAGGUAAAUAAUCUUAUCAAGAAAAUGGGAGAAUUCUUGUAUGCCAAAAAGCUAUGUUGCCCGGACUCUUCAACAAUGUCAAGGGGUGCGUGUCGGAUUCGCCAAAAGUAGUGUGCUUUUGGAGAAUCCGACAUGGGUGCGGCGUAGAAAGUGAAGAGUCCGCGCAACUUAGCCAAAAAGUAGAGAACCUAGUACAACAAAUGAUUUUCCACAAAAGGCAAACUUCUAUACAAGUUCCCUCAUGGGUGCACCAAAAAGAAACAAGGGAUAAGAGGCGACCUCAAUUGUACGAGUCUUUCUCUAUCCCUCAAAAAACUCUCCAAUUUCUGUCUCCAUACUACUCAUAUGAGUGCUUGGGGGCAUCAUUUUAAAGGUUUUGGCAACGAAUAGGAACUUUCGUAAGGUGGGAUAUAGGUAUUUUCUGUUAUCUAAGGUCUAAAAUGAAUCAUCAUAGCUCGUAUGUGUUAGGUACAAGGUAAGCAAGAGAAAGGGGAAGCUAGUUUGAAAUUUCUUUUGUGCCUGUUUGGUUUAUAUUACUCAGUUGAGUCAAUGAAAGGAAUCAAUAUUAGGUUGGAUUGGCUUAUGAAAUCGUUCUUUUAAUUUUACAUGGAUUCUCUUCAUCUCCCACUUUUCGCACACCUAAUUCGGGUAUUAUGUGCUGGUUUCUAAUAAUUGGAGGCAUGCAUUUUUGCUUAUUAUGUUGCUAGACUCUAUUUUACUUGAACAACAUGACAUUUAGCUUGCCUUUACUCUUAAGUUGAAGAAGUAACUAUUUCCCGUGAUUUUUUCUGUAUAACUUUCAGAUACUAUGAUGGUUUACAAAGAUGUUUGGGAUUGUAUUCUGAAAAGGGGCAAUAUACCGCUGAUGAAAUUGAUAGACUAGAAAAUUUGUACAGAGUACUUGCCCAUCAGUAUAGUAGAUCAUCUGCUGUAAAGGUAAUUGACUUUAUCCUUUCUCAAAAAAAUGAUCUCCCGUUGAUGGCUUGUGCUAGCCUCUAUGUCACGUUAUUCUUUGUUUUCUCAACAUGAUUGAGAAAACAAAGAGAAACGUGCUAUAAGCAUUAUACAUUUAAUGUUAACCAGCAACGUUCUGUUGAUAUUCUAAUGUUGCAACAACAGGCUUAGCAUUUUGUUAUAUGUCCUAAACAUUACGUUUUUCUGAAUAGUAUAGUUUAUGUCACAAGCAAUCGAAGAACUUAAGACGAGGGGGCAUUCUUGGUGAAGAGUUUCCAACUUGGUCUUCUUUGGAGAUUUUAGUUCUACUUCUGUUACAUGGCUCCUCACUUUCAAAUGUUAUAUUCCUUGAAGUCAGGGUGCUUUAUAUAUUUUAAAAAAGAAAAAGACCUAAGGCUUGUGCUCUAUCUCUACAUUUUACCAUGGAAAUGGAGGACUCCAGUUCUCUUGUACGGUAUGAAGACCACAGAAGGUGCUUUAGUUUCAUGACAAUAAAUGCCAACCUCUUCUAUGGCAAUACUUCCUCGUCUCGGGUUCGAGUACCCCUAGUACGAAGUCGCUGUUGUUAGUGAGCUCUUUACCCCCCAAUGUGGGACUUCCUAGUGCAAAUUUGGAUUUAGUCGGGUUCCUAUGUGGGUACCGGACACCGGGUGGGAAACCAAACAAAAAUAUACUUCCUCAUCUGUAUUUGUUCAUUUAUAUUCAGGAAGUUUUGACUUAAGCAUCGACUUUGAAGAAACUGCUGUGUAUACUUAGUGAUGUCAAGUAAUCAAAGAUCAUGUUCUUCCCCUUCAAAUUCUCUCUUUUCCUUUCUUCCCAAAGCACCUAAAUAAGUGCUAGUGGUAUGCAUCAUUCCCUCGACUGUCUCAGGCAUUGCCCAUUGUUCUCCAACCAAAUUCAGGACUGUCCACCUUAACUGACUGGCCAUCUUGUAGUAAACUAGUAAAAUGGUUCAGGUCUUCACCGGAACAAUGGCACAGCUAAUAAAUUUUCCUUUCCUCAAAUUCUCAGCCAUUAAUGUUUCUUCCUAAGCUGCCAACCACGUAAAGAAGCAAACCUCUUCCUGUGUCCCUUUCGGCAUCCACACUGAUAGGUAUUGAAAUCCAGAAUCCUCCCUCUUCAAUAGCUUGUUGUAGAAGGACGUGAUUGAAGAAAUCCAAAAUCCAGGAUCCUCCCUCUUCAAUAGCCUGCUGUAGAAGGACAUCACUGAGAACAACCCGUGUCCCCUCUCUUUCCACUUCCAUAAAUCCUGUUUCAGUUAGGUGAUGUUCUUUCUGUAAGUACCACCUCCAUCAGUCUCUGUAGUUCCCUUACCUCCCGUCCGUCUGGUAAACUUCUCCUGAAUUCAAGUCCCAUACUUGUCCCUCCAUCAGUCUUUGUUACCCAUAGAAUGAAUCAGGCUGUUUUGUCUUGUAAUUUUUAUGACUUGCAUGUGCACAUUUGUUGUUAUUCUACCCCUUUGUUUGAUAAAAGUGACAUUUUAUUAUCAAUCUAGACCUUUCAUAAUCUUUGUGUGACUGAGAGCCAUAAAUGAAGUUCUUGUGUAGUUGCCCCGGGAUUUGAUCCAGUGCUGAGUAGUGGUAAGUGCGCAGUACGAUGUGUGGGUAGGGGCACAUCACAGGUUCAAACCUUUCUGCAGACAAAAAUGAGGUAUUUAAGCGGAAAAGGGUGUAGUGGGCUCAUUGUGCCACUGGCCUCGGAGAUUACUCAGAUGUUCAAAGAAAUGAAGUUCUUGUGGUUUAGUUGCCAAAAACAUUCUUCUUUGUUUGCUUAUGGAGAAGUCUUUAUCCCAUUUUUUUGAUGUAGGAAAGGGAUGUUCUUUCAGUAUGCAUAAUAGACUUCUUUGUUUGUUUCUUUGUCUUAUUCUUCUGUUUCCUUUUUCCAUGUUCUUUUGCAGAGAAUUCCACUUGAUUUUCUCCAAGAUGACAAGUUUCGAGAAGCUGCAGAUAAUUAUAUUCGACCUCUUCUGACAAAAGUAUUUAUUCUUGGCACUCCGCUAGGUUUCCUUGGUCUUAGAGCUGAGCUGAUACUUUAUUUACUGAUGCAUAUGUAGGGGGUUCCUUCUUUGUUUUCUGAUCUUUAUCCGCUGUAUGAUCAUCCUGGCAAGGUUAGUGCAGAUGCUCCUUGAUGUGCUUGACUUAGAGUAUUGCAUAGUUAUUGUAGCCUGUUUAUUUUUUUGAUUGAUUUCUGGUUCUCUUCAUCUCUUACAGGCCGAUAUUCUAGGGGAAUUUGUUUUGAAGCUUGAACAAUCACUUAAGAGUACUGGUGGAUACCCUGGGAGGUAUACAUUCGCCUAAUUUUUUGGUCUAUGUUGCACUAUGGCAUGUUUCUUGAUUCUAAUGAAGGAUUAACUAAAUUGCAGUACUAACCUUAUUUAAUCACUUCUACCUGAACUGAGUUAAUUUUUAUUUGUUAUUCUUGGUAACGUUUCAUGUCAGUAAGAAGCUUCUCUAUUUGUACUAUCUCAUCCUUUCUGAACCACCUCGAGGGCUUGACACUUCACAGUCUCUGAUGAGUAUUUUGAGUCAAGUAUUAGACCUGUUUUGAAGAAGUUCCUGGGAUUAGCAACCAAGUGUUGUGCAAAUUUGGAAGGUAGUUCGGUGUUUCUGAAGAAAUUUCUAUCUAUGAACCGAACAAAAAGAUACUUAAAUACAAUUUUGAGAUCACAGUGUGUCUUAAUAAUUUUACCAGUUUCUAUUUCUUUUCUGGAAACUAUUUUUUGAGAAGGUUUCCAGAAACUAUUUUAGCAGAACUUAUUUUCCUUUGCUUUGGUAACCUUUAUAAAUGUAUGUUAUAUUGAGAGUGUGAAAGAGCAGACAAGAUGUUAAUAGUUAGUGACAUAUGGUCAUGUGGUGUAGGGUUUCACUGGUUUUGAAAGAUCACAUGAUAUAGUUGUGCGUCUGAGCGCUCCCUUCUUUUAAAAAUUUAGUGACAUCUAUAUUUUAUAAAUAAAAAUUAGAAGUGAACUACAUCAGUCAUUGAAAUCUACAUAGUUAUCACUUCAGAAUACUAUUAUCUUUGAUGCUUAAACAAUUGUGUAAUUUGAUUUGUUGAUAGUCCAGGAACUAGUGCAGUGUGUAGGUUGUCUACUAUGUUAAACUCUCUUAUUCCUCUUUUCUCAAAUUUUAUUUAGGGGUGAUGUACAUCUGUUAGUCAAUACAACUUCACGGAGGACGUUUGAGGACCAAGCGGUUCCCCUUUUGGUGUUUAAUUAUAUGAUUUUCUUCUUCAUUCUUAUUUUCAAUCUACAUGAAGGGCAGCCUGGUGCACUAAAAUGGCGCUAUGCGCAAGGUCCAGGGGAGGGUCAGACCGCAUGAAAUCUUUCAUUUUGCAUGAAUAGAAUUUCUUUUGCAUAAAUACUUUUAGCAUCAAAUACUUUGUGGGGAUACAUUGCCUUCUUUUGUCAAAUUUAAUAAAUCCUCCUGCUGAUGCCGUGUUGGUAUAGUAAUUGCUAUUCAGGAUUCUCGAAGGCACUGUUGACUGCUAUUAUCCAUCGACAACUGUAUAUAAAAACAGUUUAACCAUCUAACUUGGAGUGAUGGUGAUUGACUUGUCUCAAAGCCAUAAUAAUUAGCCAGGGUGCAGUUGAGAAUUCAAUUAAAACUAAGUAACCAACUCAAUUGGGACAGAAUUUGCCUUGGUUAAUGCGUAAAUGUACUAUGUGCUUGCUGUAUUCAAUGCCUAUUGUAAUACUUUAUGGUCUCUGUGGGAUUUGCUAUUUUUAUGGGGUUAUAUACUUACAGAUGUAACCUUAUGCUUUAAGUGCAGAGUGGAGAAGGAACCCCCUUCAACACUUAUGUGGACUUUAUUUUAUUUGGCUCAGGUUUGCUCACUUGUCUCCGUAUUAGUCAAACCAUUUCUGUGUUUACUUUUCACUCUCCAAAUUGAUGAAAAACUAUGUUCCUGCAGCACUAUGAUAGACGUGAACAGUAUGACAUUGCUCUUACUAAAAUUGACGAGGCAAUUGAGCACACUCCAACUGUAAUAGAUUUAUACUCUGUCAAGGUAUAUUGGCUUAUUAUCAUUUUCUCUGGUCACCUUUUUGCAUCCUUUUGACUUGAAUGUUUGGUAAGAAGUUGCUUUUGGUCAAGAUUCUAAAAUAAAAGUGGGCUAUCCAGUCUCUUUCCAUUCUCUUUCAAUAGAAUUAAGUGCCCCUUUUAAUUUUUCACCCAAGGGUGUGGCUUGAUGUCCUUUCCAGACCCCAGUCCCCCACUUGUGGGAUUACACUGGGUAUGCUAUUGUUGUUGCCUAAGCAUCAGUCGGCCGAGUUGCCCCCAUAAUUCUGUUGGUGGGAGAUAGAAUGUAUCUGGUAGAAUAGUUGAGGUGUGGACAAACUGUCUUGGACACUAUUGUUAUAAAAAGAGAAGAAAAAAAAAAUUCAUAUAGGCGCUAAUCAGGAUUGAUUCUUAGUAGUUGUUACACUAGCAUUACUAGUUUACCACCAGUGUUUGGUGGUUUUUUUUUUUGUUUCGUUAGAGAUGUUAUGUUAGUGUAAGUAAGUGGGUGAGAUUUAGAAAACCUCUGGUUUUAGAAGCACCUAAAUGCAAAUUGUUUUUAUACACAAAUGGGUCAUGAGUGAGUGGAAUAGGAACAAAUGAUUUAUACAGUGACCUCAGCUAGUUUGGAAUCGUGGUAUAGUUGACAAUUUGAUAUGCUGAAGAUCAGUAACCCUUACACCCUAUCCAAUAACAUAAAAACCUGUUACUAAAUGUAGGAAAGCGGAAGGAUCAUGAAUAAUAGUUAUCCAUUUCUUAAUUCUUAUGUAGCUGAUAGAGCUUCAAAUUGACUUCUGAGGAACUAAUUUUGACUCUUAGGAUGAUUGCUGGAUUUCUGAAUUUCUGUUUAUUUCUUGCUGUUUAUGAUGUUAUCUGCUUGAAGUUGGAUCUGUAUGAUGAAGGAGAAGUAAAAUUUGUUGUUUUAUGUCUUUACACCAAAAAUGAAAUAGCUAACUACAAUUCAUUUUGUCAAAGCUCUAGCUUUGCUACAAAGUAACCUCUCUCCUUUAUAAAAGAUAGAUCGUCUCUUUCCUGUUUCAACCCAAGUAUGGACUUUGGUUGUAUUUCCAAAUUUUCCUUUUAAGGUUAGUUUUGGCACCAAACUCUUUGAAAAUAUGCUAUGAUUUUGAACUCAUUUUCAUCUUCCCUUCUUUCGUUUGCUCAAAGUUGGGCCUUUUGUUUACUAUCAAUUAAAUUAAAGCUAUUAUAAACACAUGAUAAAUUGUAUGUCUUGGUUUGUCCCCACCUUUUUAGUGAUUAGCAUUUUGUUGCGUAUUUUUUGAUUCUCCAUUACUUUUUGUAAUCAAAAUUCUUUAUUAAAAGAAAACAAAAAAUUAACCUUGCAAGGUACAUAUUGACAAAAAGCCUAUCUAAUACUGUGACAAUUUCUUUUGACAUAGUAACCAGAGAUAAAUUUGCAACUUUCUUCUUUCCACUCAAAUUCUAUAAUCAUGUUCUUGGAUUUUGUUACCUGGAGUAACUUAAGAUUUGUUUAAAUAGAUCAUUGCUUUGGCCUCUUGUAUUUACAUUUGAAUAACCUUUCUUGUUAUCUGUUCUAAACAGAGCCGCAUACUAAAGCAUGCUGGUGACUUGGCAGCAGCUGCUGCACUUGCUGAUGAAGCUAGGUGUAUGGAUCUUGCAGAUCGAUAUGUUAAUAGCGAAUGUGUUAAGCGCAUGCUUCAGGCAGAUCAGGUGCUUUCUUAUGUGUUAUCUCUUUCACUUGACUGUAUUUUCUCUUGUUGUCAAUUCUUAUGAAUUACCUUGGUUCCUAAUUUGUCUUCCAACUACUUUGUGGACAUAUGACUGAAGGUCACAUUGGCUGAAAAGACUGCUGUACUAUUCACCAAAGACGGGGAGCAACACAAUAACCUUUAUGAUAUGCAGUGCAUGUGGUAAGUCUCUUACUGGAGCCCGAUCAUGGUCAGAAGUUCUGUGUGUGAGUGUCUUACUGGCCUUGUUUAAUUUUUUAUAUGAAAGGUAUGAACUAGCAUCAGGGGAAAGUUAUCUUCGCCAAGGUGAGUUGGGAAGGUCCUUAAAGAAGUUUCUGGCAGUGGAGAAGCAUUACGCGGAUAUCACGGAGGACCAGUUUGAUUUUCACUCCUACUGCCUAAGAAAAAUGACUCUGCGGGCCUACGUGGAAAUGUUGAAGUUUCAAGAUCGGCUUCAUUCACAUGCGUAUUUUCGCAAAGCAGCUAGUGGUGCUAUCAGGUACUGAAUAUUGACUUGCUCAAUCUUCAAAUUUUUGGUUUCUCUCAACUAUGUGGUUCUACUUUGCAUUAUAUGUGAACUUUCUGUUGAAGUGGAACAAUAGAAGACUGGAACUCUUCUGCUUAUAGUAUCCUAGUUUUCCGGUUUGAUUACAUGCAACUUGCAAGCUUACUGAGAAUUGCUUUGCUGAAACUUUUUAUGUUUUUAUGCUUUGUUUUGCCUCUACAUUAGAUGCUAUCUGAAGCUGUACGAUUCUCCUUUGAAGUCAGCAUCUGAAGAGGAUGAUGCAAUGUCCAAGUUGCCUCCUUCUCAGAAAAAGAAAUUAAAGCAAAAACUGAGGAAGGCAGAAGCACGAGCUAAGAAAGUACUCAAAUUUGCUUCUUCUUGUUCUUUGAAAAUUUCAUUUUAGUAUAGGUGCCUUAAUCUUUUGAAUUGUGUUUAGGAUGCAGAAGUCAAAAUUGAGGAAUCCAAUGCAACUAGUGCUACUAAAUCUGGAAAGCGCCAUGUGAAGCCUGUAGAUCCUGAUCCACAUGGUGAAAAAUUGAUUCAGGUAUUCCCUUUUCUGCCAUCUGUCACAUCUUUUAGGUAUAAAGUAUCCAUCCAUUCAUUGCACAAUUUUUUUUGAUAAUGCAUUCUUUGCACAAUUUCUAGUAUGAAUUUAGAGUAGUCAGGAGUAACUGUUAGAUUUUUUAUUUUAUUUUGAUGACGACUAUUCCAUUAUCUUCUAAUGGAGUUAAUGAUGAUGGGUAUGUUGUUGCACUUUGGAUUUAAAUUUGUAAAGUAUCCAUGCAAAGAUGUUUUGAAGAUAAAAGUAGCUCAGUACAGAAGAUUAAGAUGAAUUGUAUUUUGUAAUGUCAUUUUUGGUGUAAAGAAAAAAAAAUGUAGAUGAAGUAGCAUCAAUCAUAGAAUCCCUGUGAGCUGAACAGGUGAUAUUUUGCUUUUUGUAAUCUGUUAAUAUGGAUUCCAGCACUUCAUUUGUGCUGAUGUUUUAAUAUACUGUUACCUUUUCAAUAUUUUUUUUGAGUGAUCAAACAUCUGUUACUUUGGAUAUCGUGUCAAACACUUGGAAUGCUUGAUGAAAAUCCAAACAUCUCCAGUAAAAUGGGAAGAACAGUGUUUUAAUAAUUUCUACCAGUUGGUAUUUUCUGAUUUUGAUAAGAGUACUAUCUUGUCACUAAACCUUUCAGACUGAAGAUCCUCUGGCAGAAGCUUCAAAGUACCUCAAGCUUCUCCUUAAGCACUCACCAGAUUUCUUGGAGACACAUUUGCUGUCCUUUGACGUAAACAUGAGGAAGCAGAAGAUCUUGCUUGCCUUGCAGGUAAUAUCCUUUAUAAUUCAGUUGAUUUCAGUUAUAUUUAUAUUGGUAUAUCUUUGUGGCAUAGUAGUGGCCAUGCAUAUAGUUAGCUGCUUGAGAUUACCAUGCUUCCUUGUCUUUCCCCCUUUGUUUAGUUCCCCAUUGCUAGUUGUAUCUGGAUUCAGGAAUUCUAAUCUUCAUUUUCUGCUGUGGUACUCGUAUGAAAAAAAGAAGAGAGAAUGUCACCUAAAAAUAGUUGGGCUCAUGUUUUACUUAGAUCCUCAAAAGCACUGCCAUCGAAGAUGUUAAAAAGGAUGAGGUUGACUUCUAAUCGUAUGGAGGAUAGUUUUCUCAAAAGACUUACAUAGAACAUUAUGAAAGCAUGGAAGCAAAUUGAUUUUAUAGGAGAUACCAAGGACUAAGGGUAGUCAGUUGGUACUUUUGUUCCAGGUCUGGUGUUUGAUAUGGGCUUUUUUUAGUUUGGAUAGGGAUCUUAUGCCAGUGCCAGGAUAAUUAUGAUGUUUAAUAGUAUUUCCUUAUUUCACGAAUUUUUUUGUUAGAAUCAAACGGCGGGCCUCUAGAUGUAACAGAAUGGUUAUUGAGGCUUCGUUUGGUUGACCUGCAUCUAUUUUGAGAUUGAGAUGUAGUCAUAGUAGUAGUUGUUUUAGGAAUAUUGACAAACAAUCACUUUGAUCUUUGUCUUUUUCCAGGCAAUAAAGCAUUUAAUGCGGUUGGAUGCAGAUGAUCCAAAAUCACAUCUGUGCUUGGUAUGCUUUUACGGCAUCAAUACUUCCAGUGAUAUUAUUGUUUUAUAAACACGUCAUGCUCUAUUUCUCGAGGUAUUCAUAUUUGCUUCUCUCUCAUAUGGACUAUGAUCUCUUGCAGAUGAAGUUCUUCCAUAAAGUUGACUCCUUGCCUACUCCAGUAACUGAUACUGAAAAGCUCAUCUGGGGUGUCUUGGAAGCAGAGCGACCUGCCUUUAGGUCAUCUUGAAUGCACUUCUCUUUUCUCUAUAUAUCUCAUGUUUAAAUGCUAUCAGUGUUGAUACUCUACCAGUCAUAGUACUUCCAUUGAUUUGGGAAUUCACAAAAACUCCAACUAGUUGGGAUUGUGGAUCUUAUUAUUGUAUGAUGUUAUUGAUUGUAAUUAUACUAAGGUUUCUGUAUGUUUCUAAUUGACCUUUCCAGCCAGUUGCAUGGUAAAUCUCUCAUUGAGGCAAACAACACUUUUCUUGAGAAACAUAAAGGUCAGUGUCUAACAGUAACAUACUUUUAUUAGUUUAUUUUGCAUCGUUACUCCUCUCAUUCUUGAAGAAAACAUGAUUUCUCAUUGUGUGGUGUUUGCAGAAUCAUUGAUGCAUAGGGCUGCUGUGGCUGAGUUGCUACAUGUUCUGGAACCAAACAAGAAGGCUGAGGCUGUCAAAUUAAUUGAGGACUCUGUUAAUGAUCUUGUUUCUAUGUAAGACCCUGUUUUCAUCACAUUAAUUUGUAUUCUCAUUACAUAGCUGAUAAUAUUUCGUUAUAUUUGCAAAAUAGUAAUAAAUCACCUCUGUUUUUACUUUUCUCCAAAUUAGGGACGGAGGACAAGGAACUGUCAGGUCAUGGAAAUUGAACGACUGCAUUAUAGUUCACAAACUCCUCGAGACAACUCUGGUUGACCAUGAUGCUGCAUCCAGUAAGUUCUUUACCAUUGCACACAUCCUUCUGUCUUUUCAUAUUGUACAUCUUAAGUCUUCCCUUGGCCUGAAGUUGAGUUGAAGUUAACUGCAUGCAUAUGUUUGACUCUGGUUCUGGUAUAUUGCUAUUGUAGCCUGUUCGUUUUUUUCAUGCAUCCAUUCCUUUUCUGUUGAUUUGGGUGGCUGGUGGAUAUAUUAUUUUGUCUAUAUUAUGUAUGAGAUGAUCCUUUUCUGUCAAAUACAUCAGUGACAACCUACUUACAUGAUAUUUGGUGAUUCUAUGGGUAGUGAUGUUUUUGAGACAUUGUUGUAGGAUGGAAAGUUCGUUGUGCUGAGUACUUUGUGUACUCGACUUACUUUGGAGGUAUUCAAAGCUCAGCUAACAAUCAGAUACAGAAAUCUCCUGCAAAUGGAGCUGUAGGCCUAAAUGCUGGUGAAAAUUCUUCUCUUUCAUCAAAUGGGAGAUUAGAGAAACUAAAUGCGCUUAAGGAUCUACAAAUUUAAUUGUACACUUCGAGCUGAAGUGUAAUCUCUCUGGAAGAGUGCUGGAGAAGCUAAGUGAAACUAUAUCGAGCAUCUAGAGUAUACACUUGACAACAUUAGGAUGGUUCUAAAGGAAAUUUUCAGCUCUACGAGGGUUCUUAUUGCUUCUGGACUGGUUCUCCACACCUGAUUUGAUCUGAUUAUCAUUGACAUGAAGAUAGUAGUACACGCUUGUCUUGCCAAGGGUCAGGUCAAAUACCAGGAAAGAGUUUGUGGCUUGGUGCGAAGCAUUUUCAACAACUUUCAGAUUUGAAGUUUGAGCUCUUGGAAAUUUUUUUAAGUAGUCGGAUCCUUCAUUCCGUCAGCAUAGAAAAAGGAUGACUUAAAGUGCAUGUUGUAUUUUUUUCAUUUAGUUCUCCAUUUUUCUUAAUGUACAAAUUCUGUUUUAUGUGAAAGAAAUUUUGCCAUAGUAUUCAGAGAAAAUGAUAAACUCAUACGGCUGCAGUGAUGCGUUUCUUAUGAUAAAGGAUGAUAUUUAUUAUUCAGUUCUAGAAAUUUACUAAAUUUCCCCCCGCCCCCCCCUUAAAACUGUUUUUUCCCAUACUUGAGAAUUGAGUGAUGGUUAGACUGAAAAUUAGAACGUUGGUCGAGGUGGAUAUGUGAUCUUUUCUUUAAGAAAGCUUAACUGACAAAUAAUCAUUUGGAGAUUGUGUGUGUGAUUGUUUGUUUAUCUUGAGAACUUUUUUACUGUCUGAAACUCUGAAUAGAAGGGCAAGAUAAGCUGUAGCAUAUCUGAGGUAGGAGGUCGACUGCAAGACACUUUGAAAUAAAUUCUUUUUUUGUUAGUUUUGUGCAUCUUAUUUCCUUUUGUAAAUGAAAAAAAAAAGAUGUUAUUUAAAUACUUUUAAACUGGAGAUAGAGAUAUUGCUAUAUAAGUUUAGUUUCGAUAGAUUAGCUUUUGGUCAAAAUAGUUGGUUGUCUAUUUGAUAACAACAAUAUUUUCGGUAUAGUCUUAAAAGUGAAGUCUGUGGGGUUCAAUACACUUUCGUUAUUCAUUUGAAUAUGUUCUCAGAAAAACCCUGUGACAUGCAAAUUCAUACGAUAGACCACUGAUAUAAACAAAUUUCUCAAUAUCUCUACAACAUUUUGGUAAAGUAUUAAAGACCAUAUCAUAAUGACAAAUAUUUUUGAAAACUGUGGCAUGCAAUUAUGAGAAUAAAAGUGGAAGGCAAAAUCAAUAACAUUGAAAGGACAGUGACACGUGUAACAAUUUUCUUGGCUGCAGAAUGCUCUUGCAGAGGUGAGUACCCUGCAGAAUCCGUUUUUAGCAAGCUCAGUUGCUGCUUGUUGCGUGUGUGUGAGAGAGAGAGAAAGAUUUCAACUUUGAAGAGAAAAUGGGGAAGAGAAGGAGACCAAGAAAUGAUGAAGCACAAAAAGGUUCAAGUGUUGAAGGAGCCACCCCUUUUCAAGAAUCUCAACAGCAAGAAGCAGUGGCUUCUGGAAGGAGUGGAAGAGUGUUGAGGAUGAAACAAGAACCCCAACAAGCUCUUCUAUUGUCACCUCCAGUAAACUCUACUCCUCUGCAUUUUUGUGAUCAUAUUUUUUUUGUUGUUGGUUCGGAGAAAAAAUGAAAAAGAAGGGGCUUGUUAUCUCUAAACCCUAUAAACUUGAAGAUCGUUUCUUUUUUUCUUUUUGCUUCACUCGCUUGUUUUCUUUCUUCUCGUUUUCUUAACAAUCAUUUUUUCUUAUUUUGCUGUGUUAAGGUUGUAUUGCAUGUUACUUACUUUUAUCUUAAAUGUGUUCAAGAUAUAUGCUUUGUAGUAGAGUGAUAGGGCUAAAAUCGCAAGACCUGUUCAAAAAAAUUCUGAACUGCGGAAGUUAGAGAAUGGAUAUAAGACAUGUUGUUUGUUACGGGAUAAAGGUUUCAGGUGAGUUUUGGCGCCUGUGGGUCAUUACAUAAAUGCUCAAAUAAGCAUGAUAUUUUGAUUGCACAAGGUAAAAUAUUCACUGCUUGAUAGUUGAGAAGGGUGGGGUGGGGGAGGAAUUUGAGAGGAACAGGAAAAAGCAACCUGAAUAUAGUUGUGUGUUCUUGAAGGGGAUAUGCUCUUUCUUAUAGGCAGGUAAUGAUGUUGUAAGACUAAUCAUUGGAAGUCAUUUUCUGUAAUGCAAAAGAUAUUUGUGAUCUUAUUUCGUUUUUGUUAGCAUGAUUCUCUGAACUAUUCUGUAGUGUACAGAAGCCUACAUGUUCUGUUUGUUCAGGUCAAUUUUGCUUACUACAAAGCUGCUUAUUUGGUUUUCCUAAGCUAUUAUCUAGACAAAUAAAUUUUGCUUCAGCUAGCUGCAUAUUCCUUUUUGUUUUGACAGGGUUUUGCACCAUCGGAUGCUUCACCUUCCCAUCCCAGGUAUCAAACUCGCAAGUCUUUGAGGGCAAUCCUUGGUCGGUGUGAGUCUAUUACUACAACACCAAGGUCUCCAAUUCGACAUGUUAAGGUACUCCAAUGAAUCUCUUUUCAAACUCCAUUGAUGAAAGAGUGAAAUUUCAUUAAUAGUAGCACCAAGAAGGUGCAAAAUAUGUACAGUCAAUAAUUUACAGAACACUUCUCAACAUAGAGAGGUGAUACACAGGUGUACACACCAUUAUCCAAGGAAAUAUUGAACCAAAGAUUCAAUAUCUGUAAACAACUAAACAUAAAACAUAAAAUAUUUGUGGUGUGUACACUUGUGUAUCACCGUCCAGAUUAUCCAAAAAAAAUACUAGUUGGAAUGAUCUCCCGGUUCCUUUCCUCCUUUUUCAACUUUCCAUCCUUGCCAGCUAACUGAAACUGCUUUAACUGAUACUGGCAUAGUCCAUUUCACUCCUGAUAUGCUUAGGAAUAGAAAUCAUAUUUCCCAAACAUAAUUACAUAUGGCAGCUUCAUUGCUUUCUUCUGCAUAUUAUCAUGAGUAAGAAAAGCCUUAUGAGGGGCUAUCCAUUGAAGCAUGCUGCCCCGAAAGGUGCUUUGGAUACUGUCAUUAUUGUUCAUUGUUAAUAAACAAGAGUUUUUCUUAACUCCGUUUUACCCUCUCCAGAUCAUCUUCCAUUGAGAUUUGUUCUUCCUCUAUUAAUCUGAAUAGAGAGUAAUAACAUGUUUUAACUGAAAAGAUGUUAUCAUUGCUUGGGACCCUUCUGCAGCAAUCAUUGUUAUUUUCAUCCAUUAUUAGCUUUGUUAAACUGCACAGUAACUGUACCACUCGUCAGUUUCCUAGUCAAACAUAUUCCUUCUGAAAUUAUUAUGGAAGAUAGAGAAAUAUAGUUCAGUUUCUGACAUGCCAAAGCUGGAGUAUAUAACUUUGGCACGACUGUAAAUUAAGGUUCGUGAUGCGUAUUUAUCUUUAAUGUUGGCAUAAGCCAGUUACUUCAGUGACAACCACUAUUCCCUUGCACUAAUGCUGUAAAAGGAAGGGAGUAAAUUUACAUUUUACAGUCCCCAAAACUAACUUGGAACAAAUGCAACUGAAGACCUGCCAAGCAUAAAUGUAUAUGUUGACAGAGUAACUUUCGAGAUGCAUGCACAUAAAACAUAAAUUAUGUUGCUCAUUAAGAAUAUUGCACAGAGAUUUCUUGAAUAAAGAAAGGGAUAUAUGUAUCAUAGUAAGAAAAAGAUAAAACAAGAACAUACUUGGACAUUAGUUGACUCAUCACUCUAAGAAACAAGAAGGUAAGAUUAGCCAAAAUCAUCCAUCAAUCAGAGACUAUUAACUUACAUCGUUUUUGUCAAAUGGCGUUAAAAUUGGUCUCCAGCACUUCAACCAGCAACAAUGUCGCAAUGCACAGAGAUUCCUAAAAUUAAGAAAGAGUGUUUAUCUUUAAUCUUUAGAUUGUUUUAACAUUUUCUGCAGUCCCUUUUAAUGAAGUUGGAAUGGCUUAUGAUGUACACUUUUCAUUUAUUAACAGUCUAAACUUCGUUUCUUAUUCUACAGGCGUCAUAUCCUUCAUGUGCUACUUCUGACUUACCUGCUCAUCUUACUACUGGAAUUUCUAAAGCAAUAAAAGAAACGCUUGAUGACUUUGUGCCCGCAGAACUUGAACAUCAAUCUAUUCUAACUAACUGUGGUGUCUUGGGUGUGGAAAAUCAGAAACAAGGGCAACACGCUCAAACACCACCUUUGCCUGAAGUUGUAGUUAAGAACAAUGCAACAGUUAGUAAGGCUGAUGUGGUGUUAAAUGCUAAAGCCACAGAAGCGGAAACCAGAAGUAACCAGAGUGGUGUGCUUCCGACAAAAUCCAUGAGUCUUAAUCUCACAAGGAUAGCUGCACUAAUGAAUGAUUAUCCUUCUGAUGCUGAUGAGGUUGAAUCAAGACCUGGUCACAUGUCAGUCAUGAUGGAUAAGUAUAGAGUUAAGGAGGAAGCAGCACCUGUCCUCCAGAAGAUCUUCCUUAAAUAUGGAGAUAUUGCAAUGAAUAGCUCUUUCUCUUCUGUGAAUUUCUCUUCAUCACUCUUGGAGUUUGUUUGCGACAUCUGUAAGAAAUUGGAGGAAACAGAUUUCUUAAGUAUAACUUCCAAGGAGAUUCAGUCCAUGCUUGCUGAAGCUAGAGAUCUUGAGGCUGCCAAAAUAGAUGUUGGGUGGCUCAGUCGAAGGUUAAAUGAUAUCUCUCAGGCCAAGCAACUUCUACAGGACAGCUUCAAACUGAAAGAGGCAAAAACCAGGAACCUUGUAGUGAUGGAGACAAACAAGAAAGAACUGGAAGAAUUGAAGGAAGAGUUGGCUGCUUGCAUUGCAACAUGCCGCGUUUUGCAACAAAGAAUCCACAAUAAAGAGGAUGAGUUUGGCAUUGCACGUUCUCAGAACGAAAAAAUCACGCAGAACUUUGCAGCUUUGAAGUCCAAGGUGAACAGUUUCCUGAAGAAGUCCUUGGUCCAUGACCUUCUCUGAGCAGCCUGGUGUUUGUAGUUGUUCUGUCCUGGAUAGGACCAUAUGAAUGAUCUUUUUCACUAAUUUUUAAUCCCUAACUAGUUCUGUUAUCCCAUAAUAUACAAAUUGUUAUGUUCAACCAUUGAGUCAUUGACCCCUAACUGCAUAUGAGUUGCAGAAGAACUGAAACAGAAUCAGAUAGACUAGUUUUAUUUGCUAUUGCGGAAUGGAAUGAGCAGAGAUGUAGAAACUUUAUUAGCAUUUUCAUUGCAAUUCAAUUAAGAGAACUAAUGUUAAUUACUUGAGUUCUUUUCUCCUUAUCCUUCUUUAUUUCCUGCUAAUCAUCUAAUUGUGGAGGAUUACUCAAAAUAAUCAACAAAUGUUAUCAACCUUUGAAUUAUAACUCGUUUUCUUUUUCCACAUUUCUUUAAUUAUUUCUAUAACAACUUGUGUGUCUCCCAUAAACCAAGAUUCACCAUCAUUCUCCCCCUUAAUAGUAGUUUAUAUUUCUCAUAUGUCACACUUAUUAAUACUGCAUGCAAAUUUCAUAAUAAGGAGCUUAAAGUUGAUUAGCCAUAUAAACAAACAUUUUGAGCAUGGCUAUAACAUUUCAUUUAAUUUCACAUCCUUAACAAACGUUUUAUCAAAUACAAACAUUAAAUUAGUGACACAUGUCCUGAUUACAAGCAAUAGACACGUGUAACAUCUUUCUUGGCUGCAGAAUUAACAAACUCUCUUUCAGUGGCAGGGUACUCUGCAAUAUCAUUUUUCCUAGCUCAGAAGCUUCUUGUUGAGUGACACAGAGAGAGAAAAAAAAGAUUUCAUCUUUGAAGAAAACAGUGUUGAAGAGAGAAAAUGGGGAAGAGAGGGAGAACAAGAAAAGAUGAAGCCCAAAAGAAUACAAGUGUUGAAGGUGCCACCCCUUCUCAAGAAUCUCAACAGCAAGAAGCAGUAGCUUCUCUAAGGAGUGGAAGAGUGUUGAGGAUGAAACAAGAACCCAAACUAGACGAUGGUUCAGCUCUAUCGCCGCCUCCGGUAAACACUUCAGCUCUACAUUUUGGUGAUCAUGUCCUCUCUUUUUCUGUUUUGUUCAGAGUAAAAUAAAACAAAGGGCUUACUGCACUCACUUGGUGUUUUUUUUUUUUUUUUGCUGUGUUAAGGUUGUAUUGCAUGUUGUAUUAUCUUAAAUGUGUGAGCCUAUGUUUAGAGGUGCUGAAGAGGAAAGUAUAUUUUGAUGAUUUGUGGUAGGGCUAAUGCAAAUGACUUCUGUUUAAAAAAAUUCUGAACUACAAGAUUUAUAGAAUGAAUAUGAGACAUGUUGUUUGGCUAGUGGGUUAUCACAUAAAUACUUAAGCAUGAUUAGCUGGUUGCACAGGUUAUAUAUUCACUCUGCUUUGAUAGUUGAGAAGAGAUAAAGAUUUGAGAGGAUUAGGACAAAGCAACUUCAUGUUCUGUCAAUAAAUAAAUAAAAUAGUUAUGUGUUCUUGAAGGGAUAUGCUCUUUCCUAUAGGCAGGUAAUGGUGUUUUAAGAUUAAUCAUUAGAAGCCAUUGUCUGUAAUGAAGUGGUCUUAUUUCGUUUGUUGUUAGCAUGUUUGCUGCGAACUAUUUUGUACUGUACAUAAGCCUACACAUAUAUGUUUGGACUUUUAGAGCUAUAUUGCUUGCUGUUCAUCAAAGUAUUAUUCUAGCACUUGGAUUACAUGACAUGUUGAAAGGCUUUGUCGGUUUAUUUGGUUUUCCUAAGCCCCUACAUAGACAAAUAGACUUGCAUCAACUAGCUGCCUAUUCCUAUUUGUUUUGACAGGGUUUUGCGCCACCAGAUACUUCACCUUCCUAUCCCAGGUAUCAAACUCGAAUGUCUUUAAGGGCAUUACUUGGUCGGUGUGAGUCUAAUACUGUAACACCAACGUCUCCAAUUCGACAUGUUAAGGUACUCUAUUGAAUUUUUUUUCAAACUCUCUUGAUAAUUAAGAGUGGACUUUCAUUAAUAGUACCACCAAGAUGGUGCUAAAUCUGUGAUGGCAUAUGGAUAGGCAGGUUCAUAUCAAUAUGUACAGCCAAAAUAUAUAGAAUUACUCUUCAAGUAAGAGAGUCUAUGAAGUCCACACAAGAGUACACACUACUAACCAAGGACAGAUUCAAGAAAAUAGUUUCGGCUUUGUCCUAUGUUGCUCGGACACAAAUUCAAGAAAAUAGUCUUUUUUAAUGAAGUUAGAAUGACUUACAAUGUGAACUUUUAGUUUAUUAACAGCUUCUUUCUUAUUCUACAGUCGUCGUAUCCUUCAUGUGCUAUUUGUGACUCUCCUGCUCAUCUUACCACUGGAAUUUCUGUAGCAACAAAAGAAAAGGUUGAUGGCUCCACGCGCACACAACUUAACCAUCACUCUGUUCUAACUAGCCAUGGUGUCAUGGAUGUGGAAAAUCGGAAAUCAAAGCAACACACUCAAACAACACCUUCUUUCACUGAAGUUGUGGAUGAGAAAAAUACAAUAGUAAGCAAGGCUGAUGUGAUGUUAAAUGCUAAUGCCACAGAACAGGAAACCAAAUGUGACCAGAGUGGUGCACUUCCAACAAAAGGGAGGGUGGUUGAGUCCGCACAUGCAGGGCAUAAACAUCAGUCUGUUCUAACUAACCGUGGCGUCUUAGAUGUGGAAGAUCAGAAACCGGGGCAACACACUCAAACAGCUCCUUCUUUUCCUGAAGUUGUGGAUGAGAAGAACACAACACUAAGGAAGACUGAUGUGGUGUCAAAUGCUAAUGCAACAAAACCGGAAACCAGAAGUGACCCCCUUCCUACAAAAUCCAUGAGUCUCAACUUCACAAGGGUAGCUGCACUGGUGACUGACUAUUCUUCUUAUGCUGAUAAGGUUGAAUCAAAACCAGUCAUGGUGGAUGGGUAUAGAGUUAAGGAGGAAGCAGCACCUAUCCUCCAGAAAAUCUUCCUUAAGUACGGAGAUAUUGCAAUGAAAAGCUCUUUCUCUUCAGUGACUUUUUCUUCAUCACUUCUGGAGUUUGUUUGUGACAUAUAUAACAAAUUGGAGGCAACAGAUUUCCUAAGCAUAACUUCCACAGAGCUCCAAUCUAUGCUUGCUGAAGUUAAAGAUCUUGAGUCUGUCAAAGUAGACGUUGGGUGGCUCCAUCGAAGACUGAAUGAUAUCUCUCAGGCCAAGCAACUUGUCCAGGACAGUUGCAUAUUAAAUGAGGCAAAAACCAGGAACCUUGUAGCGAUGGAGACGAACAAGAAAGAACUGGAAGGAUUGAAGGAAGAGUUGGCCACUUUGCAAGAAAGAAUCCACAAAAAAGAGGUUGAGCUUGGGAUUGCUCAUUACAAAAAUGAAAAAAUCAUGCAGCGUUUUGCAGAUUCGAAGGCCAAGUUGAACAGUUACCUCAAGAAGUCCUUAGUCCAUGACCUUCUUUGAGCAUCCUGGUGUUUUGAAUGACCCUACCAAUUUCUCAGUACUUGUGAUCCUUUACUAGGAGUUCUAUUAUCCUUCACAUAAGAAACUGUUUUCAUUUCUUGAGUCAUUUGGCUCCAAACUGCAUAUGAAUCUAGAAGAACUGAAUACAGAAGAUCAACUCUUUUAGCAGAUGCAUUGCAAUUCAAUUACAACAACAUAGGAUUUUUCUUCUCUUUAUCCUUCUUUAUUUCCUACUAAUUGCUAUCACCUAAUGUCUACUUUUUUCUCAUAUCAUUGCUUCAUAAGCACUGCUUAAUUUGAGCAAGGUGCAAGAAUAUUCUUGUUUCUAAACAAUUACGCCUCAAACUCAAACAAUUUAAGAUCGGUUAUAUGAAUUCUGUCUUUUCUAUUUAUACUUGAUUCAUGUCAUCACCAUAUCAAAUAAAUAAAUCAUAGGUAGAACCUGAGUUUUUCUUUUUGAUAAGUUUAUCAUUACUCCAAAAUAUUACUCCAUCUGUCUCAAUGUAUACAACUUAUUUUUCUUUUUAGUCAGUCCAUAAAGAAUCACACAUUUCUCUAUUUAGUAAUAAUUCAACUUUAAAAUAUCUAUUUUACCCUUAAUGGAAUGAUUUCUAGCCCCACAAAUAUCUAUCACUCAUUUUAGACCACAAAUUUCAAAAGUUUUUCUUUCUUUAUUAAAUUCCGUGUCAAAUCAAACUAACUCAUAUAAACUGAGACGGUGGGGGUAGACAUUCCGGGAAUUAUUAUGGGAGGGGGCAAUUUUGGGUAUUUUUCCCUUAAAAUUUCAAGGACAGGGAGGAAAUUGACUAUUCAUUUUGCAAUUUAGAGUUUAGUUUGUCUUCAAAUUUAUCUUCCUAAUUAGCCUCGAGGAAACACUAAGGUGGCUCAUUUGAAUCAUUUGUUGCCGUACUGGGCCUUGGCCCAUUUUACUUAGGCCCACAUGAUUCUUUCAGCUCUCAACCUCUAGCCCAAUUUGGCUGCUAGUCUAGUUGAUUAGUUUCUUAUUGGGAAAUUGACAUAAAUAGCCGCUCCGACAUAAAAAUAGUCGAUAACAACUUUUUGACUAAUGUAUAUAAAAAAAUAUUGAUCGAGUGAAUAAAUGUGUAAUUUUAAAAGUUAGCAUCAUUGGGCUGCUAAGUCUAGUUAAUUAGUUUUAAAAAAAUAGGGAAAAUUGACAUAAAUAUUUGCUUCACAAAAAAAUUAGUAAACUACAAUAUUUUUCUCCGUAUAUAAAUAUUUUUGGUCGAGCGAACAAAUGUGUAAUUUUAAAAGUUAGCAUCAACAUUGAAAUUUAAGCAAGACAAGUAACGAUAACAGAAACCACCAACGCUAAUCUACUUGUGAGAAGAGUUUUAUUACUUUCUCGUUUCAAUUUGUUUGUCUUAUUUUUCAUUUUAUUUCAUUACUUACUUUUUAAAACUAUGUAUCAAAUUAAAUAAGACAAAUAAAUUGAAACGAAAGGGGUAUAUAAUAGGUGUGGUUGUGUCGGUUCAAUUCAAUUUCUGUGGUUCUUAAAAUUGUAUUUUUACUAUACAAUUUUUUUAGAUAUUUUUAUUUGAAUACAAAAAUAUAUUGAUGUCAGUGUGUCUCCGGCCAUACGGUUACACAUUGAUCGAUCGGUUAAAAUAAUUAUAUUCACUUGUAUUUUUCUGGAUUCUUCCUUGUUAUUAUUAGUCACAAUUUUUUUUUGGAUAUUCUUUUUUAAUACAAAAAUAUAUUGAUGUCACCGGCCAUAGAUCGAUCAAUCAAAAUAAUUAUAUUCACUUAUAUUUUUCUGGAUUCUUCCUUGUUAUUAUUAGUCACAAAUUUUUGAACGGACAAUAAUGCAUCAGACAACUUGUAAUAAAUCUGUUUGACGUACAAAUUACUAUUAUGCGUGCAUUUUUACGUACCAAUACACUUGUUCAUCAUGAGUCUUCUACAAACGCAUAUUAAUAAUGCACAUAUGGACAAUGUUGCAUUAUUCAGUGAAAAUGAAAUGUUUUACUAAUUUAUUUACUUUUGAUUUUUCUACCUAGCUAGAAGCUUCAUGAAUGAAUAAAAUAAAUAUUUGUACCCAAAAGUUUCACUUAUAAUUAAAUGGUAGAGCGGAACGAACGGAAACCAGUAACUUGUUUGAUUUUGAAUGGAUGGCAAUUGGCAACUUAUGUGGACCUACCACUACAAUUUAAUUAUUACUCUCUCUGUUUUAAUUUGUUUGUAUGGUUCCUAUUUUGAUGACACUCCAAGAAUAUUUUCUUUAAUCAUGAUUUUUUCAAAUGCUUUUGAUAUAUUUUGAAUUGUUAAUUGUGAUUUUUAGUACUUUAUGUUGGUGCUAUACGUGAGACAAUGACCUUAUUAUAAAUCUAUUAUAGCUUAUCUUCUCUAUUUAGAUUGGGAUUGGAUUCUAAUUAGUUAUGUUAAUUAUCACUUUAAUUUUUAUGUAUGUUCAUACAUAGUUCUUAAAUAUGUAAAUUUCAUUUUAAAAUAUAUGAAGAUUGUAUGUCCAAAUACACAUUGAACAUAAGUUAGUUUGAUCAUUUAUACUUUGAAUCAAGUCAAACAAACUAAAACUGAUCAAAAAGUAUUAUUUUUUAAGCUCUCUAAUUACAUCUUAAGUUUUUUUUACACACUUCAACUAACUAUAAGUAAAACGUCCACAGUGAUUAACCCUUUUUAGGCUACACUUGUACCAAAAACCAUUGCACCCAUGCAUGGACCUUUUUUGUGAUAAUUAUAAAUUAAUUUCAAUAACGACCUCAAAAUAAUAUGACAAUAUAAUAAUAGAUUAUAUAUUACUCAAAUGUAGUGAUGGAAAGUGUGAGUUGAAAUUGGAAAGAGAGUCUAGCUAGCUGUAUAUUACCCAAUAUGAGUCCACUUAGGGGUGUAUUUUUGCUAUUUUAUGUUUCAUUUGAGUGGGGAAAUAAUUUUAUUUAUGAGUGUAAGAAGGGUACAUAGGAUGGAUUAGUGGGUACGUUUGUCUAAAAUAUGUUGGGGACAAAUUAAACUCUUUAUCACGUGUGGGGUGUCCUCUUUGUAGUUUCAUUUCCUUGUCCAAUCCUAAGGAAACAUAUGCUCGGUUGGGGAGUAACAUUAUCCUAAGGACAAUGCAACUAAGUCUUAUUAUUUUGUUCCUCGAUCCAUUUAUAUUUAAUUUCUUUUCUGUAAGAAUAUAUAAUUGGAGGCUUUAAUAGAUGAUUCAGAUUAUAUUGGUAAUUGUCAAAAAUGAUUGGGAGGUUUCAUCAAAUGAUUUUGAUUAUAUUAGUUGGUCAUCAAUCACAAGAUAAUACCUUCAAACUUUUUAUUUUUUCUUCCCAAUGAUUAUAUUUUUAUUUAUCACAAAUUUAUAAGGAAUAAUAUCGGAAUGAUGUAAAAUUAAAUAAGGAAAAGUUAAUUAACUCCCCCUCCUGCACUCACUUUAAAUGAGAUAAUUAUACAAUUCAAUAAGUAUGUUAGUAGGGUGGGUGGAGAUGAAAAUUGAAAUCGAUUGCAUAUCUCCCCCACUCAUUUAAGAAACUACUGCACGCAUUAUUGAGUUGAAAGAAGAAAAUCUCAUAAGCAAUGAGGGAUAAUGUUGAAGAUCUUUCUCUCUCUCUCUAUAUAUAUAUAGUGCGAUAACUCUAAAGUACUUAAAUUUUUAGAGAAGAUUGUACUAUAAGCUUCAAUUUCCCGCUAUUUAUAAAUACAAUGAAAGUGGAUUUAAGAUUUUAAAUUAAUGAUUUUCUACGCAUUAUAAUAAUCCUUUUUUCCUUACUAGGAUUCAGAUAAAAAAUUUAUGUAUAUUAAAUGAAUUCAUUCUAAAAUACAAUUAUAUUGAAUUCUAUUGAACUCGUAAUUUUAACUUUAGAUUUUCCCCGAUUAAAUUUUUUAAUGUAACAAAACAUUUUACCACUUGUAACGAGAGGAUGGUCAAUUCAACAUUUUAGUUGCAACCGACAUGAAUAAACGUACGUCAACUAACAUGUUUUAGUUCUUAACUACCCAAAUUAAAGAUUGCAUUUUUUUUAAAAGACAGCAAUAUGAAUUAAGUAAAAUUUGUUAGUUAAUUGGUUGAGUUAAUUACAUGAUAUUGGAGUUGAAUAAUAAUCAGUCGUAUCAAUUAUUAUAAGAUACGUGCACAUACAAGAGAAUGUCUUCUUAAUUAAAAUGUUGAAUUUAUUUGAUAAAAGACCAACUAUAUAAUUGGUAAAUAAUUGACUGGACAAUAGUUAUAUUUAUGUAUUAAUUUGUAUUUCUAAGGGAUUCAACGUAAGAUUUCUAUGUCCCAAUAUUGCAAAAUAUUCUCAGGGUAUAGUAUAAUAUCUUCUUGUUAUAAUUUAGUAUAAACUGAUUGUCUAUAAUUGGAGAAAUUAUAUUCCUUUAUUAACAUGCUACUUAUUAAAUAUGUAAAUAAUUAUCAUGUUUGAAGUAUAUAUUAUCCCGCAGAAAUUUGCCUUCGCUACAAAAAUCAAAUAUCCACAUACCCUAUUAUAAUUGGAUAUGUUCCUCAAAAAAUUAAUUGUCUAUGUAAUAGGAAAUUAUAACGGAGACAAUUUUUUAUUUAUGAUAUUCUUUUUCGUAAACUAUCAUUUUUUUCACUUCUUUUUUGAAGAGAAAUGUGUCUUUCAUUGGUUUCGAAAUUGUCAAACCUAAUUCAAAUACAUGAUUAUUCAAUAAAAUGUUACUAAAUUAAUAUAGAUGGGGCCAUGAAAUAUUAUUAUUUUGUAGAAGUAUUAUUUAUCGACAUAUUAAUAUUUAUUAAUAUAAAAAGUGUUUUGUGAAAACUUCAUUCAUGAAUUUGAGUUCAUGAUUAAUGAUCCGCUUACCGCAAAAAAAUUUGACAUCAAUAGCCAUUUGGAUUACCCGGAUGAAAAGUGAUACAUUUUCAGAGGUCUAUUACUUAGAAGAAAUUGUGGAUACCAUCGGAAAAAAACAAUGUUGAUGAUGAAGUUGAAGAUGAUACAAUACAUUUGCAACCAGUUACGCGUAAGGAAACACUUAUCGCAUCUAGAACUCUUCACAAUUUUAUGGUGAAGUUCGAAAAGACAACACCGAAACUUUUUGAUACAAUAAUAUAAGAAAAGUUAGAGAUGAGCUUCAACUAGAUUUAAAUUUUAACGAAAAAAACACAAUAGAAUCAUAUUCACUAAAUUGCCUUAGAUAUAUUUGUACUUUUAAAGAAUUAUUAAUUUAUAAUAUUGAUGGGACCAUAUAUUUAUAUAGGGGUCUUCUGAAAAUACAUUAUCUUAUUGAAAUGAGUGAUUUUUUCCAUUGACCCAAGUCGAGACCAGAAGAAAAUAUUAUCUUAAUGAGAUUAUUAAUUUAUUGAGUAUUAAUUUAGUGAGGUAUUACUCUAUAUUUAGAUUUUGAAAUCAACGUAACACUUAAUUUUCCUGUAUUAGUUUUGGCAAAAGGAUUCGUUUGCCCCUUAACUAGUGAAAUAGAAGAAGUAUACCCUCCCAUUUGAUUUUGGUCCCAAAAAGGCUUUCGUCCAAUUAAAAGAUUUGUGUAGCUAGAAACAUAAUCAGAAUUUAAAGUAUUUAUGGAUUUCAAAUUCUAAUUCUUUUAAGUUAUUGGGUUUAAAAUUUAUAAUUUAUACUUGAAUGAAUUUCUUUAAUUUCUUUAGAGAGUUUUUGAACCAAACUUAAUUCGAUCGAUCGUAUCUCGAAGGCUAGCUUGCUUUGCCUCUAAACAACAAUAAGAUACCCAAUAUAGGGCCAUAAAUAAGAUCUGAAAAGACUAAUUAUAUAUAUAUACAUACCUUAUUCAUACCUCGAAAGUUAGUCCAUAUUCGAAAUAAUUACAUUGUGUACAUGUAUAUAUGUAUCUUUAUUUGCACGCGUAUAUUAAUGUGUCUACAAACAUAUUGGGAACACUUAAAUCAGAGACAUCACAUGGCAUGUCUUUUGUUAACAAUAUGAUCAAACGGUCACAAAUAAAUCUCCACAAAUUAUUAAUGUUUUACAUUACAUACCUAACAUUAUAUAUAUUAUACAUACUUUCCCUACCUUUGUAUCUCAUGUGACCGACCAUUAAGUUUAAUUACCUGCCAUUGCUCCUUCCUUGUCUUCUCAAUUAUUAAAUUAAAUUCCCAUAUAUAUAUAAAUAUAUACUCAAUUUUUCAUCAAACAACAAUAUAUUUUCCAUUCUUCAAAACGCAUUUGAAGAAAAGAAGAAGAAGCAACGUUUUGCACAUCAAAUAAAUACGAAAUGGCAACAGAAUUGGAAAUUACUGAGCUAAGAUUGGGACUUCCAGGAGGAAAAUUGGAGAAAAAUGAGAAGAAAAGGGUUUAUUCGGAAAUUACUACUAGUGAUCGAAACAGUAGCAACAAUGUUAAUGGUAACGUUGUUGACGGCGUUGAGGCUGAUAAUUAUAAGUGUCAAAACAAGAAUGAAGUUGUGGGGUGGCCUCCGGUAUGUGCUUACCGGAAAAAGAACAGCUUUAACGGACGUGAAGCCGGAUCCAAUAGUAAAAUGUACGUGAAAGUUAGCAUGGAUGGUGCACCAUUUUUGAGGAAAGUUGAUUUGAGUACUCAUAAGGGUUAUGCUCAACUUGUUAUGGCUCUUGAGAAGCUCUUUGAUUGCUAUGGAAUUGGUUAGUAUUUAAUUUUUCUUAAUUAAAUUAAAUUAAAAGCAUUGCAUACAUUUAGGCAAGUGAAAUUAAUAUUGAUAAGUUCUCAUGUUUAAUUAAGCAUAAUUAAUUAGUUGAAAUGUAGAGUUAUAACGAGCCAUCGAACCCUCGCUUUAAGUGAAAAAAACCUUGUUAUUAUGAAAUGUACGUUUCCUAUACUAUACUAAACAUAAAUAGAGAAUCUUCAUAAAUCUAAGCAAUUAUAUAUUUAAUUACUAGUGUUAUAUGUUAAAUUAGUAUUUAAUUAUAAAUAUAUAUGUGUCUAUAGGAGAAGCAUUGGAGGAUGCAGACAAGUCAGAGUUCGUUCCAAUCUAUGAAGACAAAGAUGGAGAUUGGAUGCUUGUCGGCGAUGUUCCAUGGCAGUAAGUAUUUCACUUCUCUUUAUAGCCCUCUCGAGACGGAGAAUUCAGAAUUUUCAUUAAGAAAGUUUGGAAGAUAAAAAUAUAGUGCUUUGAGAUUUGAAAAUUCAAGGUGAAUUUUGGAUUCACUCAACCUCUAAUCUUAUGUUGAAGAAGUUCAAAAUUUAUAUAUAUGCAUAAGAAAAUUAUCUUAUAUAUAGCAUGUAAUUUUUUACCGAGUGAGUUCAGGUGACCCUUGCUACCCUCUAGAUCUGCCCCUUGGGCACCUUAUCCCUAAUUGAACCUUCUUUAAUUAAUUGUAAAAUUAAACUAAUUAUGUGUUAAGGGGUGUCAAAUUUAGCUUAUAUAGUAUAUAACUUACCAAUUUACUCAAAUUUAGGUGAUUUAAACUAGCAUAUAUUCAUUGAUGGAUCAAUUUGGUCCCUUUUAAGGCAUAGAUCAAAUAUCAUCAUGUUGAUAAAGUAGAAUAUUGAAAUCCCGGCUAAAUAUGAAUUUGUGCUAGGAAGAUCCUAUAUUGGGGGUAAAACACUUCCAAACAAAGGCAAUUUCAUACCCAAGAGGACAGACCUCUUGAUUAAGAAUAAAAUAGUACUUACCACUCUACCACAACUCUGAUUAGUUACUCAACAUUUUGUUGUGUUAGUAAAAAUCUAAAGAUGUUGUAUUAAUUUAAAUUUGAUUUUGCAGAAUGUUCAGUGAAUCAUGCAAAAGGCUAAGGAUCAUGAAGAGAUCAGAGGCAAAAGUGAUAGGGCUUGGAGCAAGGGACUUUCUCAAGGGAAUGUCUCAAGAGAAAUAGAGUGGAUGAUUCAAGCUAUAUUUUUUUACAUUAAUAUAUAAUUGUAAUUGUAAUCUUAGGUGUGAUAAGACACCCUAGACUUAAUCAAUUUCUGAUUUGAUUUCCUCUUAAUUAAUUAGCUUAAUUAUUGUAGUGAUCAGUACCUUAUUUGCUCUUAAAUGACAACUUUCGUAUGUAAUAAGGCUAUAUGUGUAACCAACAUGUUGUGCGGAAAUUGUGGCUACCAGCUAACUUUCCCUUUGUUUCAAUUUUUUUAUUUUUUUUGUUAGCUUUUGGUUUUUGUUUUAAUUAAUUGUGUUUUUGUAAAUUGAAGAAUUCUGCUUACAUCUGAAAUCCCAAAAUCAAUUAAUUAGCCAAAGCUAAAAUUCUGUUUUAUUCUAGAAAUGUUAGUGAAUUCCGAUUACACAAAGGUUAUAUAAAAAGACACCCGAUGAACGACUAUUUUAAUCAGAUAAUAGAGUAGUACUCCUAAUGUCUCAUAUCAAUUGUCCACGUUACUAAAAGUAUUUUUUUCAAAUUACUUGACAAUUUACAUUAUUCAUAUUUCUAUUAAUUCUCCUUAUCUAUUUUUAAAAUUUAUUUUUUCUAGCUAGUGUUCUCCUUAUCUGUUCACCAUGUUGAAGUUGGAUUUAUCAAAUAUGUAUAACUCGAAAAAAGUGAACAAUAUAUAUAAUAUCGAGUAGAAAAGCAUAGUUAUACAUAUUCAUGCAUACUUGUGUAAAAAUGGAAAGAUUCCUGUAUCACUCCAACACACUUAUAAGUCCAAUGUAUUAAGUGUGUAUAUUUUUUUUUCUUGGAUCAUGAAAUACUGAUGAACCUUAAUUUUUAUUUUUAUUGGGGGGAUAAUAAAGCAGUGAUGUACCAUAUGAAUAUACUUUAGUUUAACUACAUAUAUCACAGUAUUUAACUAAUCGAUGUAACCUUUAUUCAGUGUGGAUAUACAUGCACACGGACUAAUUCUUACUUCCACCGAAAUUAAUCUCCAAAUAUUUAAUUAUUAAUCAAAUCAUGUGUUAUGUACCUGUAAUUAUUCCAAACAGACUUCAUUAAAAUAAACCAUAGAGAUCACUUGUGAAUCAUGUAAAAUGUACAAAUUCAUUCAUUUUUAAUCAAGACAUUUUGAGUUUGAGUCAUGAAACUGAGAUCACUUUUAUAUAGUAGAGAACAUUUUAUCUUUUAGAGUGAAAAAUACUGUAGUAUAAAUCUGAAUUAAUUGAGCUUCAAAAACAAAUACCAACAAGGCAACACUAACUGGAGGUGUGUGGGGCGGGGUAUAUGUAUAUUCAUAUUUAAUAAAGUCCAAGAGUGUAUUAAUUUGGCAGAUGCAGAAUCUUCAACCGAUACAUAAUUUAUUUUUAUAUUAAUAUAUCAACUAACUAAACUGAAAUAUUGGCCCAUAAUCAGCAUGUAGAGCUACGUCCGACAGAAGGCAUUAUUUUUGUUGAUGUUCGGCAAUAACAUCUUUUAAAUAAUCCAAUAUCACAUUAUUAAGUACAUAUUAAAUUCAUUACAUUUUUCCGAUAAAUAUAUAAUGAUGGAGCCAGAAUUUCCACUAACAAGGAGUAUAUUUAAUAUUUUUAUCUAACUACACUCGAUAAUUUUUCAAUAAAAAAAUGUUGAUUGAAACUCUUCAAAUAUAUGUGACUCCAUCGUUAUGCAAAUAUAUGGUACUCAUCUAUUGACUCGACGUAAAUACAACAAAUUUUUUUAACCAUGAGAUAGUGUAUAUAUAUCACCCAUUCGAUCUUUUAUUUCUUCAAUAAAUGAGAAGCGUGGAAUAUGUCGGAUUUUGAGAGUACAUCUACCUGCUCAGAUGGUAUUAUUUAUUAAUUGACAAAUGACCACCAGACAAUUCACUUAUUACACAACUAACAUAUACGCAAACGUAUAUAUCAAUUGUUUUCAUGUUUACAUUUUCAGCAUCAAAUCAUUUCAAUACUUUACCUUUAAUUUUCUUUUACGUUUUUCAAUUAUAUUCUCCUUCACCAAGAAAAACUCUUUGGUCCAUAAGAAAUACUUCUUGCGUCCAAUAUUCUGAUUUAUAUAGUACUCUCUCCGUUCAAUAAUAAUUGUCUAUACCAUAUUAUGUUGUUGUCUAUUCAAUUUAUAAAAAUACAAAAAAGAUAUCCAAAAAAGAAUUAAUAUUCCAUUUUUAAUAAAAACACAAUCAUGAUGAAAAGUAUUGUCCUAUUUGGGCAAUAACCUCUUAAAACGAAAAGAUUCAAUUGAACCUCGUCCUAAAUUGUGAGUUUGUGACUCCACUAAUGUAGCAUUAGAGGCAAAGCUAAAUAGGGAUUAGAGGUUCAUCUUGUUGGGUAUAGCAAAAGUUAAUGGGAAAUGUAGGGAAGAUGAAAAGAGGAAUUGAAAAAGAUUUUCUUAUGCUUCAAGAAAAGACAUUUUUCUCUCAUUGGUGGUGGAAAGAAAAAUAGAAGUGUUUAAAUAGAGAAACACUUCUAUUAGUUGUUAAAAGGGUUGGAAAGAGGGACCUCCCUCGCGCUGUCGUCGUCGUCGCUUGGCUUUGGAAAAUGAUCGAGAGAUUAAUUUUUGGACAAAGUUUUGUUUUAAUUAUUUAUUUAUUUAUUUAUUUAAUUAAAUUAAAUGGCCAAACCGUUUCAAUUAUUUAGUUAAUUAACCGAAACGUUCCAACCCGACUCGGAUCUGCGCGACCCAUUUUAUUUAAAAUACUUUCCCGUUUUAUUUGAAUUUCCCGUCGUUGGAGAUGACUGUUCUGAAAGGUUGCAACUUUCAGGAACAACCAUGACCGUUUGAAAGGUUGCAAACUUUCAUGAAUGGUCGUGUGGAUUCUGAAAGGUUGCAACCUUUCGGAAUCAUUCCUCUUGGCUAUAAAUACCCGUAAUUCUUCAGACUUUUACUUACGAAAAUUUAUGAUUUCUUCUUCUUCUUCUGCACAAAUUUCUUCGUGUACUUUACUGUCGUUGAGUGGUUCGCUAACACCAGCGUUUUGGGUAUCAAUACACUGGUGAUUGAGAUCAUUCUAUCCUGGGAGGACAUAUUUCAAAUCAAACCUCGGAUACUAGAGGGGAAUAAUUUCCUUAAGGGGACAUUGUGCAUUCAGUGGGCUUGAUCUUCUUUCCAUUCCGUUUUUCCAAAUUUUGGUACGUUUUUACAUAUUUUAGUUUUGUGAAUUAAUUUUUGUUUUUCUGUUUUUCACUGGUUCUUUAAACUUUGAUAACUUCGUAUUUCUGCAAAGUUUGUUGUAAUCAGUAGUACUGUUAUAAACACAGAUAGUGUAACACAUCUAAAAUUACUUUUGAAGAUCUCUUGUGGCUAAUUUGUGUGUUGAUAUUAUUUCAUAUUUUAAAUAUAUCUUAAUGCAAAUUAUGAAUCUAUCAUUGUACAUAUAUAACACUAGUCAAGUAUGGUAUGAUCAGUCGUUAGGAAAGAGUAUAAUCUCUCCUAAUUGAAAAUUCAAGAGUCAUCUAUCUAUCUAUCUAUCAAGAUAGUUGGAUCUAGCUCAACCAUCCACAUCCUAUAUUAAUGUAUAUGCUUAUUCACUUACGUUUCAAAAGUUGAUCUGACAUUACUAUGAAAGGUCAAUUUAUACUUUUGAAUUUCUUUCAAGAAAAGGAUAGUACAACCAAAUUCCAAUGCAUAUGUUUAAUCACUUGUAGUAAAAUAAACCUUAAAAGUCGAAACACGACAAACACUUAUCCAUGAAUAAUGCUCUUGCCUAACACAAGUUUUCAUACAAUAAGGCAGAAUUUCUAACAAAACUUUCCACCUCUUGCUUUCAUAGAAAAAAGAAUUUAGGAGAUGAAAUCCCGAUUACAUUACUGCAGGCCAAAAUUGGAUUUGUUGGAAGAAUGAACAGGGGAUAAAGAGUCGAUUUUCAUCUUUUUCUGCUAAAAGCCUUGCUUACUCUCCUUGUCCUUUUACUGACUACGCUUUACUAGGUGAUGAUAUCCUAAUCACCGACGUAAAAGUGGCAGAGCAGUACAGACAAUUACUGGAUCAGCUCGGUGUUACCAUUUCAGAAUAAAAAUCGAUUAUAUCUUAAAAUGGUACCAUCGAGUUUGCUAAAAGGUAUUGGACGAAAGAUAUGCAUAUUGAUCUUUCUCCAAUAUCUCUUAGAGCGUUGUUGUCUUGUAGGACAACCGUAGGUCUUUGUACCCUUGCAACCAAAUAUGAUAUUAAUAUAUCAAUUUUACAAAGGUUGGGGGGUGCGGGCUUCCGUGUUCAUUCUCGCAUUCAUUCUACCCAGUCAAAACGAUGGGAACGAUUGAAAGCGGCUUGCUCAAAGCCAGGUAAGUCACAUCUAUUACCUCUAGAAUAUUGGAUUGGAAGGCGGCGCCCUCGCCCCUUAAUCCUUAUUUGAAGGGAAAGAUAAUAGAUUUUUUUUGAAAAUUUAUACACUUAAUUUUGGAGACACUAAAAUUAUUUGAUCACUACAUAACUUAUCAUGUUUAACAAAAUUAAGCUAAUGAUUAUGGGGGUCAUGAUACAUAUGCAUUUCAUGUGGAUGCAUGUGUUUUUUCACGGUAAUGGAUAGUACUAUACAAGUACUUAGCUUUGACAUGUAUAUAUAUUCAAAGCAAAAAUUUCUAGAAUUGAUGAAAAAUUGUCCAAUGUAUUUUAUUUUUGAAGUCACUUUAUAAGGAAAAAAGAUCAUUUCAAAGUUUAUGGCUUGAUAGUAGUUGUUGAACAAUGAAAAUAAUCUCGCAUUUUAUAGUUAAUGAGAUAUGUGGUCUCUUUAUAUGUUGAGUUUAAGGAGGGGAGUUAAAAAAAUGGAAAACAUCUCACAUUAGUGUUAAUGUUGCUUUCUUCUAUGAGGAAAAUGCACUUGAGCAACAGUUUCUCUAUCUCUUUGAGGUAUAUGGUAACUGGUAAGGUCUGCGUACAUUAUACCUUUUCAGAUUUGACUUAGUUAGUUGAAUUUCACUAGAUAUAUUGUUGUUGUUAUCGUCGUCUUCUAUGAGGAGAAGAUGCAUUUUGUUAUUUAAAUUGAAUAUAUGCUUAAUUAAAUAACUGUUGGUAAUAUAUGUAAAGUUGUCUUCCCUUCUCCAUUUCUGUAGAUAAUAGAUAAAUAAACUAAAAUAACUUACUUUAAUAUCCAAAGCCCCUAUAGCUCAGUGGUAGAGCGCCAGUCUUGUAAACUGGAGGUCUGUAGUUCGAUCCUGCAUGGGGGCAUUUCCAAGCAUUUUAUCUUUUGUUCUUUUUAACUUAUCGUUCCUUAUAUUAAUUAAGAUAUAUUUAAUAUUUUACUUUUAUAUUUUGUGAAACUAAGAUAUAAAUUGAGUUUUAAAUGGAAUGUGAGUAUUCACACGGUCAAUCCUAACUUGUUUUGGGGUAAGAUAUUGUAGUACUCAUGAUAAAAGUUCAAAAUCAAAAUAAAGAUUUAUUUAUUUAAGUCUGAUAUUUUUUGUUUUAAAUAAUUUUUAUUAAAUGAAAUAAUUGUCAAAUUUAAAGUUAUGAUAUAUGUUAUUUGUGAAUGAUAUGGUAUUGAUUAACGAAAAUCAUGACAAAAUUAAUGAUAAAUUGAAGGUUUAAAGGUUCGAAAAUUCAAGUUGAACAAGAUUAAAACAUAUUAAUACUUAAAAAGCAAGUUCACUAAUGUAACUCAUGAGACAUAUAUAAAAGUGAAGACUAAUACACAAGUCAUCUAGAAGAGUCUUGAAUUAAUAAUCUAAUAUGGAGAGCGACAUAAAUAAUGUUACACAUUACUACUUAAAAUUAAGAAUCAAAAUCAAUAAUAAUAAAAAAAAGAUAAAUAAAUUAAAACGAGGAAAGUAAUCAAAACUAUUAAUUGAAGAUGAUGGAGAAAGUGAAUUGAGGGAAAAAUCGUUAAAAUCUUUGGGAGAUCCAAACAUGACGUGUGAUUAUACUUUGUGUGACGGCUACGUAAAAACAUGCCACGUGGCAAUAAUAAAUAAUCGUACGGUCCUGAUGAUAAGGCGACAAAGAAACAGAGUCACAUGGUGGGUUAGUGUGUUAGCCAAUCAAAAUUUGAACAUGCCCUUCUUCAAGGGUUGACUUGUCCCACUACUAACCCAACAGGUGGGCCCCAUCUCUCUCCCUACUCACACGGGUGUCCCUUUUUGGUGCAUAAAAAUAGGUAAAAGGGUGAAUUAGUAAUAUUUCCAUUAUUAAUUGUUAUGCUGAAAUUAUUUUCUAAACAUGGCUUGGUACGGUGAAGUAAAAAUAAUUUGUAUAUUUAAUUUGUUAAAAAUGUCAUUUACAAAUAUAAUGAAAAUGGUGUGAAAAAGAUUUGAGAAACAACUAUGUUAAUAAUGCAUUAAAAGCUAUUGCAUAACUAAUAAUAUGAUUUGCCAUAAAUCAAUUAUAUAUAGCAUUCUACAAAAAUAGUAGAGUGAAUAAUAAAUAUUUGUAUUAAUGAUAUAUAAAUAAGAAAAUAUCAAAUAAAAUAUUACUGUUGUAAUUAUUAAUGUAUGAAAAAAUAAUAAUUUAAUGGAUAUUACCAAACGAUCCUAUUAUGUAUAAAACGAAUCCACAAAUGUAAGACACGUAUAAAAGGAAUCCACAAAUGUACUUUCGAGUUUCGAGAUAUUUUCUUUGUAGGAAGUCGAUAGAUUUUUUUGGAGGUCGAUGAUUGAGAUACAAAGUUCAUUAGUUAGAAAUUGAAUUAUUUGUUUCUUUCAAGUGAUCGGUAUAGUUAUUACUCCUUUAAUUUUAUACUAUUUCAACUUUAUACGUCCCUUAAUAAAUCAUAAAUAAAAAGGAUGUUUUUAUUAAUUUACUCUUUUUAAUACACUUUAUUUAAUUUCAUGUCCUGUCCAUCAAUUACAAAAUUAUCAAUGGAUAAAUCUUUUUGAAACUUUAUGAUAUUUAUAUUUUAAAGAAGAACUAAUUUUAAGAGCAAAAAAAAUUAAUUAAUUCUAUUUUAAUUUUAUAAAUUAACAAUANNNNNNNNNNNNNNNNNNNNNNNNNNNNNNNNNNNNNNNNNNNNNNNNNNNNNNNNNNNNNNNNNNNNNNNNNNNNNNNNNNNNNNNNNNNNNNNNNNNNNNNNNNNNNNNNNNNNNNNNNNNNNNNNNNNNNNNNNNNNNNNNNNNNNNNNNNNNNNNNNNNNNNNNNNNNNNNNNNNNNNNNNNNNNNNNNNNNNNNNNNNNNNNNNNNNNNNNNNNNNNNNNNNNNNNNNNNNNNNNNNNNNNNNNNNNNNNNNNNNNNNNNNNNNNNNNNNNNNNNNNNNNNNNNNNNNNNNNNNNNNNNNNNNNNNNNNNNNNNNNNNNNNNNNNNNNNNNNNNNNNNNNNNNNNNNNNNNNNNNNNNNNNNNNNNNNNNNNNNNNNNNNNNNNNNNNNNNNNNNNNNNNNNNNNNNNNNNNNNNNNNNNNNNNNNNNNNNNNNNNNNNNNNNNNNNNNNNNNNNNNNNNNNNNNNNNNNNNNNNNNNNNNNNNNNNNNNNNNNNNNNNNNNNNNNNNNNNNNNNNNNNNNNNNNNNNNNNNNNNNNNNNNNNNNNNNNNNNNNNNNNNNNNNNNNNNNNNNNNNNNNNNNNNNNNNNNNNNNNNNNNNNNNNNNNNNNNNNNNNNNNNNNNNNNNNNNNNNNNNNNNNNNNNNNNNNNNNNNNNNNNNNNNNNNNNNNNNNNNNNNNNNNNNNNNNNNNNNNNNNNNNNNNNNNNNNNNNNNNNNNNNNNNNNNNNNNNNNNNNNNNNNNNNNNNNNNNNNNNNNNNNNNNNNNNNNNNNNNNNNNNNNNNNNNNNNNNNNNNNNNNNNNNNNNNNNNNNNNNNNNNNNNNNNNNNNNNNNNNNNNNNNNNNNNNNNNNNNNNNNNNNNNNNNNNNNNNNNNNNNNNNNNNNNNNNNNNNNNNNNNNNNNNNNNNNNNNNNNNNNNNNNNNNNNNNNNNNNNNNNNNNNNNNNNNNNNNNNNNNNNNNNNNNNNNNNNNNNNNNNNNNNNNNNNNNNNNNNNNNNNNNNNNNNNNNNNNNNNNNNNNNNNNNNNNNNNNNNNNNNNNNNNNNNNNNNNNNNNNNNNNNNNNNNNNNNNNNNNNNNNNNNNNNNNNNNNNNNNNNNNNNNNNNNNNNNNNNNNNNNNNNNNNNNNNNNNNNNNNNNNNNNNNNNNNNAUAUAUAUAUAUAUAUAUAUAUAUAUAUUUAUAUGCUACGAUGUCGACACAAGUAUUAUAGGACGGAAAAAGUAUUAUUCCACCAUUACCUUAUUCUUCGAUAGUAAUACUACUAUUAUUUACUUUUUAUAUUGAUUAUUUUGUUGUCAAUUUUUUUUCUUUGGUAUUGUCAUCUCAACUUUCUUAUUUAUUUAUUUAUUUUAGUUUAUAGUAUGAAUCCUUUGGAGAAAAAACUACCCGGACUUAGUUCAAAGGGUACAAUCAGUCAAUCACACGGUAUAAAGUUAUCUUUGAAUUAAAGUUAACUCCCAUUUAUAUAAUAUUUCGAUGCAAAACAUUAAACUUGAAGUUUUUUCUUGAUAAUAAAUAUCAUGCAUGCAUAUGCAAUUUGGAUUUUAGAGACUAUCAAGUUUGAUUGAAUAAUCUACUAAACAAGCACGUGCAGAUUCAUGUAUGGGCAGACGUGUCAUGACAAUUGAGACUUUAUGUUUAAUACGUAUCUAAUUCUCUAUUGAGGGUUUAUGUACAAAUUUCUACAUUACUAUUAUUAAGACUUAUAAAAGGUGUCAAAUUUUUGCAUAUACUCCCAAAUCAAUCAAUAAUAUCAGAAUCUGAUAAAUCGGAUUUCUGCUGUGCAACAAUUUUCAGCCUACCACAACCCCGCAGAGUUAAAUAAACAAAAUGACACUCCACUCCUUUCACCAUUAUUGAAUAUGGUACGGUAGGCGAGGUUAUUCCAUUUAUAAAUUAGAGAUCUCGAUUUCGAGCGGAUUCUUGAUACAUAACACUACUCUUGAACGGAGUUUUACCUGGUGUGAAUUUGAAAUAAUUAGACUCUAGUGUUAAUACGGAUAUCGUGUGGAAAAAGAAAAAAAAAAGACUCCACAUCUGAACCGUUCAUCUGUUGACACGCGUCGCAAUAAGAAUGGCCAACAUGAAAGCCUCCGUGCUCCGUCCACCUACCCGAGAGCAUAUAUAGUGGCCUAACCGCAUUUUUCAAAGCACCAAAAGAUAUCUCACUUCACCAAACUAUCUAAAAGGGUAAAAAAUGUCAUUGGAGAGAGCCAAAUUAGCGAACGGCUUGACGGAAACCGAUAAUUCCGGCCUCAAUUUCAAUGAAACAGAGCUCACUCUCGGCUUACCCGGAGAAUCGCGGAAGCAAAUCUCCGGUACAAAACGUGGAAUCUCCGACGGUAUGGAAUUAAUCCUAGGAAGCUCAACUUCAGGCGAACGCCGCCGUGAAGAUGAUCACUCGAAAAACGAAAUCUCUACCGGAAACAAACCUCCAGCAAAGUAAGUCAUGAAGACACGUAAUUUUAAUUUUUACUCUCCCGUAUUUAUGCACAAUUUAAUUGUGAAUUAUGAUAUUAGGGCUCAAGUAAUUGGAUGGCCGCCGGUGAGAUCAUACAGAAAAAACGUGAUAGAAAAGUGCAAGUACGUGAAGGUGGCAGUUGACGGAGCUCCUUACUUGAGAAAAGUAGAUCUGGAAAUGUACGAUAGUUACCAGAAGUUGUUAAAUGCUUUAGAAAACAUGUUUACCUGCCUAACAAUCUGUAAGUAUACUAAUUUGAAGAUUCAUUUUUUCAAUUUUUUUUUUUGUUCCUUUAAUUAAUUCCAUCAUAUAAUAAAUUUCGUCGAUUUGUAUGAAUCGAAUCGUAAUUCAGGUAAUUCUCAAAGUGAAAGCAAGCUUAUGGACCUUACAAAUGGUGUAGAAUAUGUACCUACUUACGAAGAUAAAGAUGGAGACUGGAUGCUUGUUGGAGAUGUUCCAUGGAAGUAUGUUUUUCUCUUAUUCUUUUUGUCUGUUAGAUUACAAGAUGGGGAAUCGAACCCUUACCAACCAGAUAAUAAUUUUGAUAGUCAAUGAGCUGAUAAGAUGUUUCAUUUGCUGAUUUAUAUGAUUAUUAUUUUUACUGUACAGAAUGUUUGUUGAUACGUGUAAGAGAAUUAGGUUGAUGAAGAGCACGGAGGCUAUUGGAUUAGGUAAUUAAUCUAAUUAACUUCCUUCUCAUAAUUACAUUAAUUAAUUUUUGAAUAUGAUUAGUGUAAUAUAUAGUAUUAACUUAUUUUGUUAAUUGUUUGUGUAGCUCCAAGAACACCAGGGGGAUCGUCGAGUUCAAGCUAAAUUAAUCUAAAGAUAACUGCAUGUACAGAUACCAACUGGCUUGGGGGAAUAAGGUUUUUUUUCCCAACCUUUUGCGUUCUUUAAUUCUAGGAAUUAUAGGAUAAGUAAUAUAUAUGCAGGGAUAUAAUUAGGCAAUUACUUAGAAGUGUAUUUUGUGCUACGAUGCUUCCCGUUUGAGUGAAGAUGAUUGAUUUUAUUAUUCCUGUAUUUGUAUUUGUUUGUAUGUUUGUGUCGUUACGAUUGUAGAUCUCAAUCAUCAAUAAUGCCAUGGAAAAAAAAAAAUCCAUUUGUACGAUUUGUGAAAGGGUGAAAAUGAUGAAGUUGAAUUUACAAAUCGUUAUCUUAAGAUAUUAGUUUGAACAAUUUUGUGGUAUGUAUGUUCAAACUCAAUUGACAAUUAUGACAAUACAAUAUGGAAAUGAAUCAAUUGAUGAUUAUGAAAAGACAACAUGGAAAUGGAUUACAUGUUGAGAGAGAUCAUCUAGUAGACUAAUACAUGAUUUGCAUGAUAUUUUUGUUCCAACAUUAAUUUGAAAAGCUUGGAUCUUUCUUUCAACUAAACUUCAAAUAUUUUUUAACUAAUUAAUACUAAGGAUAAGGAGAGUAAAAUUAAAUUAGGAAAAUAAAUUUGUCGUUAACUUGAUAAGAUAACGUGCGAAGGAUAUGGUAAUUCUGGUUUCCUUUUGUCCCGUUCCUUCAAUCAAAGAAGAAUUCAUGCACAGAGCUAGUGUCAUCACAUAGCAGAGUCUUCCCUUUGUGCUUAUCAUCCACUCCUUCUAGUCGAGUGCCUCUCUUUUUCCCGGUACGACUAGAGGUCACAAUUUUUUUAUUUUGUUUUUCUGGGAUUAGUAAAUGAGUUAAUGAUUUUUAAAAAAGCACAUUUUCACGAGUUUCAUGUCUCAACUAUCCAUUAUUUCAUUUUACCUACCUAAAUUAUGACUCUCUUUGUAAUUAAACAUAUAUACCUCGAUACUAAGUUGGCCUACACACACUUGUUGUCAAGUGGGAAUAAUAUUUGGUCAAGUCAGCAUCGAGGUGUGUUUUAAUAUAAAGGGAGUGAUAACAUAAGUAGGUAAAGAGAACAAUGAAUUAUUGGGAUAUGAAACUAAAAAUAAUAAUUAUAGUUUAAAUGUGUUUAUUGAUUUCUCCUAUAAUUCAAAGGAAACUGUUGGUGAAAACUAAAGAUACUUUAUUGGAUUGAAUUGUAUGUAAUGCUUUAGGAUUUAAAUAUAAGGGGUUUUGACUUUUGACAAUGUGUAUUAUAACUCAAGCAUUAUAAUGCUCAAGGAGAAAAUGCAAUAAAACAUUUUGAAUCCAAAUUAGUUGAGAGCAAAGCACAUAAGCAAUGAAAGCUAAAGCCCAAAUCUUUUUUAUUCAAAGCCCAAUGAAAGCUAUAUGGGCUUGGAAUUCUGUGUCUAUUUGAGGCUACAAUGGCCCAUCCAUACUCUCCUUUAAAAAAUUUAAAAGGAAAAAAAACAAUAUCAUGUAUACCCUAAUUCCUAGAGGUAUACAUAUUGUACUUAAUAGUUUCAAACAAAGAACUAACAAACCAAAAAUUUAAUUCGUCAAAUUUAAAUUUUGAAUUUUCUGGAUCGCAAGUAAAUAACCCUUUAGGGUCGUCAUGGUCAUUGGCAUCCAUGAAGUCCGCCAUCUAGCUAGCAAAGAUCGAUAAAGAUAUUCGAGAUAACAAUUUUUAAGAGUAAAAAAAAAAAAAAAAAAAAAAAAAAAAAAAAAAAAAAGAGCGUCAAGGAAACAAAUUUAUUUUGCUUAAAUUACUGCUCAAACUAAUCUUUCAAUAUGUUUCAAUAAUGAUGGCUAAAGGAAUAUCGUUGAUGCUACCUAUGUCCCAAUUUAUGUUGCACAAUUUAAAUUUUGAGAGUCAAUCAAAUAUGAAGUAAUCAAUUUCUUUUAUAUACCUUUCAAAUAUUUUAUUUGUCAAUUAUUAUGAUUUAUAAUAAUUUUAUAUUAAAGAACUUAAAAUUCUAUAUCCAAAUUCACGAUAAAAAUUUAGAAAUUUUAAAUUUUAAAUUCCAACUAUCACACAUAAAUUGAAACGAACUGAAAAAAUAAAAUACUACUAAUAACUUAGUUAUCUUAAAUAAAAUGAGAUAAUAAUUAGUACUUAACUUUUAUGUCUUAGGUAUGCCAUGUGUGAAGUUGAAAAGAAAAAAAGUAGCGUAACACAUGCCGAAACUCUCUAUCUAUUUUGUCGACGAUAAAUAUCCACGUCUUUCACACAUUAAUUAAGUCGAUUAAACUAUGAUUCAAUAUUUAUUCUCAAAUAAUAUUUGAAUUAGUUAAUAACACGUUAAAAUAUGAAAAAAUCACUCCAUAUACACAUUUAAGAGUAAAUAUUACGGGUUUUAAACCUACUUUUAAAAAUUUCUUGCUUAUAACAGAUUAUUUACAGGCUAUGACAUAUCAGUUAAAUUUAAUUUAAUUUAAAUUAAAUUAUAUUUAUUUAAUAAAUUAUUAAUCUAUUUAUAGUUUUUAUUAUUAAUUAAUAAUAGAUCAUUAAUUUUAUUUUACUUCCUUUUUUAAAAAACUAAAAUUUUCAGUUACCCAAUUUUAGGGAUUUCCUUUCCUUGUUUACCGUUAUCAUCCCCAAUCAUUGAUCACACCACCAUCCCACACGUUUCUUCACUCCCACACGACUCAACCCACAACCCACUAUCAAACUUUCUCCAUUCUUUCUCAUCUAGUCCAACAUCAAAAUUGAUUACCCAGUCUGCUGGGGCAAGUCUAAUGUUAAAUGACAUUAUAUGUUGGAAGGAAUUUCCUUUCAAAUUCAUGAUGGAUUUUUAAUUUCUCAUGUUCUCUUACAGAUUAAAGAAGGUUUUGAACUAGUAUCUCAACAAGCCUAUUCCAAUGAAAAGGCUCAUCUUUCAUCAGAUCCUCGGACUACAACAUACUGGGAUCCCUUGAGCAAUCCUCAGAGGAAGGGGAAAAAACUUGUUGAAACUCCUUCAAAGUCUGAUUCCGACUCAAAUUCGAAUUUUGUUGGUAACAGCAUGUCAAUAGCAUUAUGUAUUAUCUGCGAAAGAAGGCUAAUUACUCUUCAAGUCCAUUAUCAUACAACACUGUUGAUUGUUGGUUUAUGUCGUGGGUCAAUAACAUUGAGAAACAGUGGAGAGAGUCAAAUUGCGGCAUGAGAUCCAUCUCCCCCAACCACAAUGUUGGACAAUGCAUUAGAGGCUUCAAAUUGCUUGCCAACAUUCCAUGGGACACUGUUGACGAUGUAAUUAUUCCUGUCAAUAUUAGUGACAAAUUUCACUGGUUAAGAAUUACAUAUUAUUUUUUAAAACUUUUGGAUAAUUUUUUUCUGUUUAACUUUUGNNNNNNNNNNNNNNNNNNNNNNNNNNNNNNNNNNNNNNNNNNNNNNNNNNNNNNNNNNNNNNNNNNNNNNNNNNNNNNNNNNNNNNNNNNNNNNNNNNNNNNNNNNNNNNNNNNNNNNNNNNNNNNNNNNNNNNNNNNNNNNNNNNNNNNNNNNNNNNNNNNNNNNNNNNNNNNNNNNNNNNNNNNNNNNNNNNNNNNNNNNNNNNNNNNNNNNNNNNNNNNNNNNNNNNNNNNNNNNNNNNNNNNNNNNNNNNNNNNNNNNNNNNNNNNNNNNNNNNNNNNNNNNNNNNNNNNNNNNNNNNNNNNNNNNNNNNNNNNNNNNNNNNNNNNNNNNNNNNNNNNNNNNNNNNNNNNNNNNNNNNNNNNNNNNNNNNNNNNNNNNNNNNNNNNNNNNNNNNNNNNNNNNNNNNNNNNNNNNNNNNNNNNNNNNNNNNNNNNNNNNNNNNNNNNNNNNNNNNNNNNNNNNNNNNNNNNNNNNNNNNNNNNNNNNNNNNNNNNNNNNNNNNNNNNNNNNNNNNNNNNNNNNNNNNNNNNNNNNNNNNNNNNNNNNNNNNNNNNNNNNNNNNNNNNNNNNNNNNNNNNNNNNNNNNNNNNNNNNNNNNNNNNNNNNNNNNNNNNNNNNNNNNNNNNNNNNNNNNNNNNNNNNNNNNNNNNNNNNNNNNNNNNNNNNNNNNNNNNNNNNNNNNNNNNNNNNNNNNNNNNNNNNNNNNNNNNNNNNNNNNNNNNNNNNNNNNNNNNNNNNNNNNNNNNNNNNNNNNNNNNNNNNNNNNNNNNNNNNNNNNNNNNNNNNNNNNNNNNNNNNNNNNNNNNNNNNNNNNNNNNNNNNNNNNNNNNNNNNNNNNNNNNNNNNNNNNNNNNNNNNNNNNNNNNNNNNNNNNNNNNNNNNNNNNNNNNNNNNNNNNNNNNNNNNNNNNNNNNNNNNNNNNNNNNNNNNNNNNNNNNNNNNNNNNNNNNNNNNNNNNNNNNNNNNNNNNNNNNNNNNNNNNNNNNNNNNNNNNNNNNNNNNNNNNNNNNNNNNNNNNNNNNNNNNNNNNNNNNNNNNNNNNNNNNNNNNNNNNNNNNNNNNNNNNNNNNNNNNNNNNNNNNNNNNNNNNNNNNNNNNNNNNNNNNNNNNNNNNNNNNNNNNNNNNNNNNNNNNNNNNNNNNNNNNNNNNNNNNNNNNNNNNNNNNNNNNNNNNNNNNNNNNNNNNNNNNNNNNNNNNNNNNNNNNNNNNNNNNNNNNNNNNNNNNNNNNNNNNNNNNNNNNNNNNNNNNNNNNNNNNNNNNNNNNNNNNNNNNNNNNNNNNNNNNNNNNNNNNNNNNNNNNNNNNNNNNNNNNNNNNNNNNNNNNNNNNNNNNNNNNNNNNNNNNNNNNNNNNNNNNNNNNNNNNNNNNNNNNNNNNNNNNNNNNNNNNNNNNNNNNNNNNNNNNNNNNNNNNNNNNNNNNNNNNNNNNNNNNNNNNNNNNNNNNNNNNNNNNNNNNNNNNNNNNNNNNNNNNNNNNNNNNNNNNNNNNNNNNNNNNNNNNNNNNNNNNNNNNNNNNNNNNNNNNNNNNNNNNNNNNNNNNNNNNNNNNNNNNNNNNNNNNNNNNNNNNNNNNNNNNNNNNNNNNNNNNNNNNNNNNNNNNNNNNNNNNNNNNNNNNNNNNNNNNNNNNNNNNNNNNNNNNNNNNNNNNNNNNNNNNNNNNNNNNNNNNNNNNNNNNNNNNNNNNNNNNNNNNNNNNNNNNNNNNNNNNNNNNNNNNNNNNNNNNNNNNNNNNNNNNNNNNNNNNNNNNNNNNNNNNNNNNNNNNNNNNNNNNNNNNNNNNNNNNNNNNNNNNNNNNNNNNNNNNNNNNNNNNNNNNNNNNNNNNNNNNNNNNNNNNNNNNNNNNNNNNNNNNNNNNNNNNNNNNNNNNNNNNNNNNNNNNNNNNNNNNNNNNNNNNNNNNNNNNNNNNNNNNNNNNNNNNNNNNNNNNNNNNNNNNNNNNNNNNNNNNNNNNNNNNNNNNNNNNNNNNNNNNNNNNNNNNNNNCAACUAAUAAGUAUUAUGAACAAAUUGUAUUGUUUAUACAAAAAAAAAUAUCACAUUCAAUAUAGUUACGAUUUACAUUUUCAUUUUUUUCUAUUUCAUUGAAAUCCAAAUAAAAACAGUAAAUAAUUAAAAAUACUAACCUGAAGCAAUCCAUCUUCCGCCAUGUUUAAUUAAUAUUGAUACGUAGUUGUCCAUCACAAAAAAAAAAACUUCAAUUAGUCGCCAGUGACAAAAUUUCUGGAAGAAAAUUGAAGAGAGAGAAACGUGGAAGAAAAAUGGAUAAAAUCAGAUUUUUGAAUUAAUUUUAACAAAUUAGAGUGAAUUAAGGAAACUGAAUAUUCUUAAUUAGUUUGAGAUUCCUUAAUUCAUGCUAAUUAAUAAUUAUCUUAAAUUAAUUCAAAUUUAAUUGACACCCCUAUUUUCGGUUUUUUUUUCUUUCAUUUUUUCCUUAUUAAUUACUUUUUAUUAAUUAAUAAUAAAAAAACAUAAAUAGAUUAAUCAUUUAUUAAAUAAAUGGAAAUUGAUUUUUAAAAUCAGAUUUUUGAAUUAAUUUUAACAAAUUAGAGUGAAUUAAGGAAACUGAAUAUGAUCUGAUUUUUUAGUUUAUCUUAACUGAUUUUGAGUGAAUUAAGGAUAAAAAAUAUUGUUAAUUUGUUUGGAUCCCUUAUUUCAUGCUAAUCAUUAAUUAUCUACAAUAAAUUCAAAUUAAAUUACAGCCCACAAUUUCAGUUUUUUACUUUAUUAUUUCUAAUUCCGUUUUUUUUAAAAUUUUCGUUUAUCUUUUUAUUUAUUUUUUAAGUUUUUUUCAAUUAAUAAAAACAUUUCUUUUUUUUAACUUGUUAUAACCUGAAAUUUUUAAUGUUAUAGCUUGAAAGUCUAAAUCUACUGUUAUAACUUGAAAAUAGUACUAUAAUAUAUGUCAUAUAUGAAAUUUACACUUAAAAUAUUAACUUAGCUCAUAUUAACCCACUUCAAUCAAUCUGUUUAUUUGACAUUCUUAUUUACUACUUAUUCUUUUCUAUUAUAGCAAUAAUAACCACAUUUAAAAAAUGAAAAAAAAGAAAAAGCUCAUGAGAAUAAAAACAAAAGCCUUUGUAUUGCUCCAUUCCUAUCAUUUUGGUUGGAGCUUCUUUAUCAAACAGCAUAGCCAUACAAAGUGUUCAGUGAGAGAUUAGGCAAAAUAAUCCCUCUCUUCAUUGAUUUAUUUUGUCGGUGCCGUGAAUAUUCCUUAUUUUCAUAUGACAUGAUUAAACUUUCGAAAUUCAGAUUUCAAAAUUUGAUAAUAAAUUUAAAGUAUAUUAUAUGAAUGCGUCCUUUAAAUUGAUAUUAUCUAACAUUUAUGUUUUGUAAUUUUGAAUGUGCAUAAAUAAACACUUAAGUUUGUAUAUAACUAAACAAAUAGACAUAUGUGUCCUAAAUAGCAUUCUAUGUUGCAAUUCACAUUCUACAUGUAAUACGCCACGUAUGAGUCGGUGUCAUGUUUUGGAUUGAAUUUUCUAAUCAAUCGUCAGGGUCAAGGUUGGGUCCCAAUUUGAAUGACGGAUCCCUAAUCGAGAGUUGGGUCUCAAAUUGGUCAUUGGGAUCGUGUCCCAACUCGAAUGUCGGGUCCAGUCCCAAAUCGAUUAUCGAGGUUGGUUUUUGAGUCAGAAACUAUUUUCCUAAAGAAAAAAUUCUACUCUCUAGCCAAAAAGUAAAAUAUAUUUUCUGGAAAAUAUUUUUCAUUCACCAACUAAAUGCUAGAAAAUAUUUUUCAUUACCAACCACACAUGAGAAAAUGAGUUAAAAAUUAACUUGUUUUCCAAGAAAAUAUUUUCCUGAAAACAUUUUCAUUCAUACCAAACACACCUGAAAAAAAGUAGUCAAGCACAUGAUGACAUGUAUUACUAACGGUAAACACCCGCGUCUUUCACACAAUAAUUAAGUUGAUUGAGUUAUAAUUUAUUAUUUUUUCACAAAUACUAUUUAAACAAGUUAAUAUUUCGUAAAAUAUUACCUUAGUUCAUAUUAUCCCACUUCAAUGUUCGACAUUCUUAUUUACCAUUAUUUUUUUCUUUUAUAGCAAUAAUAACAACAUUAACAAAAUGAAAAAAAUUAAACAAAUAAUAAAAAAUAAAAACUCAUGAGAAGAAAAAACAAAAGCCUUAGUAUUAUCGUACUCAUAAUUGUCAUUUUGGUUGAAGCAUCUUUAUCAAACUGCAUAGCCAUACAAAAUGUUCAGUGAGAGAUUAGGCAGAAUAAUCCCUCUCUUCAUCGAGAUUCAAAUUCUUAAUUUUGAUAAUAAAUUUAAAGCAUAAUAUAUAAAUAUGUCUUUUAAGUAUUAUCUGAUAUCUACAUUCUUUAAUUUUGAAUGUGCAUAAAUAAACACUUAAGUUUAUAUAAAAUUGAACAAAUAGACAUAUGUGUUCUAAAUAGCAUCCUAUAUGGCAAUUCACAUUCUACAUUAACACGCCACGUAUGAGUUAGUGUCAUGUCUUGGAUCAGAUUCCUAAUCAGUCGUUAGGGUUAGGGUUGAGUCCUAGUUUGAAUGAAAGAUAUUUUGAAUCGAGGGUCAGGUCUCAAAUUGGUUGUUGGGGUUGUGUCCCAAUUUGGGUGUCGGGUCGAGUCCUGAAUCGAUUAUCGAAGUUGGUUUUUGAGUCAGAAACUAUUUUCCUAAAAAAAUAUUUUUCAUUCAACAACUAAACGCUAGAAAAUAUUUUUCAUUUACCAACCAACUAUGAGAAAAUAAAUUAAAAACCAACUUGUUUUCUAAUAAAAUAUUUUCCUGAAAACAUUUUCCUUCGUACCAAACACACCCAAAAAAAAAGUAGUCAAGCACAUAGCGACACUCUCCAUCUGCAAUGCCAACAAUAAACACCUGCGUCUUUCACACAAUAAUUAAGUUAAUUGAGCUAUAAUUUGUUAUUUUUUCACAAAUACUAUUUAAAUUAGGGGUGUGUAUCGGUUGAUUCGGUUCGAUUUUAAGUAUUAUCGGUUCGGUUUAUCGGUUUUUGGUUUUUAAAUAUGCUAAACCGAUAACCAAACCAAUAAGAUAUUUGUUAUUGGUUUUCGGUUUAUCGGUUUUAGGUCUUUAACGGUUCGGUUUUCAGUUUAACCAAUAAGAAAAUGCUUUCAAAACAAAUAUAUGACUUAUCCAAUAAUUUGAUGCGAUACGCAUACAUCGAAAUAAUCAUCCCAAACAGGACAACAGGGACCAACUUGUUGUAUUUUGGUCAUCACAACAAAGUCUUGGUCAAUUUUCGAUCACCAUAAUAUAUAAAACGAGGUCCCCUUUAUGCAAUAAAGANNNNNNNNNNNNNNNNNNNNNNNNNNNNNNNNNNNNNNNNNNNNNNNNNNNNNNNNNNNNNNNNUAAGUAUUAUCAGUUCGGUUUAUCGGUUUUCGGUUUUUAAAUAUGCUAAACCGAUAACCAAACCAAUAAGAUAUUUGUUAUCGGUUUUCGGUUUAUCGGUUUUAGGUCUUUAACGGUUCGGUUUUCGGUUUAACCAAUAAGAAAAUGCUUUCAAAACAAAUAUAUGACUUAUCCAAUAAUUUGACGCGAUAUGCAUACAUCGAAAUAAUCAUCCCAAACGGGACAACAGGGACCAACUUGUUGUAUUUUGGUCAUCACAACAAAGACUUGGUUAAUUUUCGAUCACCAUAAUAUAUAAAACGAGGUCCCCUUUAUGCAAUAAAGAGAAUCAAAUAAAACCAAAUCAUAGACAAAAGUCAAAACAGUAGCAAAUGAGGCCAUGCUUAUGGUAAAUCAUAUAUAAAGAAAAGACUCAACUAAAUGAAGUUCUUACGUUAUUUUUUUUUUUAAAAAGCACAAAAUCUGAAUUUAUAACGUUAAUCAAAUUGCAGAUAUUUACAAUCGUGCAAAAGCUAAUAUUAGUCAAUUAUAAACUAACUAAAGUAAAUAAGUAAUACUAAAAAGUAAAACCUAAAGGCUAAGUAACUAAAAGUAGAGAAGAGAGUUAACUGUUAAGUAGUGUUAAUUAUUGCGUAAAGUUAUUAUAUUUUUAGUCUAAUAUACUAUUAAUUAUAUUAAUUAUUUUUUGUUUAAUAUAUUAUAUAUAUGUAUAACUAAAAAUUAAAAUAGUAAAUUAUUAUAUUCUUAAUGGGUUAUCGGUUAACCCAAUAACCCAAUAUUCAAAAAACCAAUAACGAACCGAUAACCCAAUAAUUUUAUUUUGUAAAACCGUUAAAUAACCGUUAACCCAAUAACCCAAUAUCAAUAAACCAAUAGCACUUUUUUCGGUUCGAUUUUUGCACACCCCUAAUUUAAACAGGUUAAUAUUUCGUUAAAAUAUGAACUUACUUUAUAUUAACCCACUUCAAUCUGUCCGACACAACAUUAACAAAUAUAAAUAAAUAAAUAAAUAAAAAAAAAAAAAAAAAAAACUCAUGAGAAGACAAAACAAAAGCCUUAGUAUUAUCGUACUCCUAAUUGUCAUCUUAUCAAACAGGCAACAGCAUAGCCAUACAAAGUGUUUAGUGAGAGAUUAGUAUAAUAUAUAAAUAUGUCUUUUAAAUUAGAAUUAUUUGACAUCUAAAUUCUUUAAUUUUGAAUUUGCAUAAAUAAAUAUUUAAGUUUGUAUAAAACUGAACAAAUACAUAUAUGCGUCCUAAAUAGCAUUCUAUAUGACCAUUAACAGUUUUUUUAAGAGUAAAAGAUAAUAAGAAAAGGAGAGCGUCGAGGACACAAAUUUAUUUUGCUUAAAGUACUGCUCAAACUAAUCUUUCAAUAUGUUUCAAUAAUGAUGGUUAAAGGAAUAUUGUUAAUACUCUCUUUGUCCCAGUUUAUGUUGCACAAUUUAAAUUUUGAGAGUUAAACAAGUAUGAAGUACUCUAUCAAUUUCUUUUAUAUACUUUUUAAAUAUUUAAGUUGUUAAUUAUUGUGAUUUAUAGUAUUUUUAUGUAAAUUUUAUAUAAAAGAACUUAAAAAUUCUAUAUCCAAAUUAACGAUCAAAAUAUAGAAAUUUAAAUCUUUAAAUUUCAACUAUACCACAUAAAUUGAAACAAACUAAAAAAACAAAAUACUACUAAUAACUUAAUUAUCUUAAAUAAUGACUAAUGAGGUAAUAAGUACUUAACUUUUAUGUCUUAGGUAUGCCAUGUGUGAAGCUCUCUUUUAUAAAAUAUGAAAAGAAAAGAAAAAGUAGUGUAACACAUGCCAACACUCUCCAUCUGCAUUGGGUAAACACUCGUAUUUUUCACACAAUAAUUUAGUUGAUUGAGCUAUAAUGUAUUAUUUUUUUCUUCACAACUACUAUUUAAACAAGUUAAUAUUUCGUUUAGUUCAUAUUAACCCACCUGAAUCUGUCCAUUUGACAUUCUUAUUUACUAUUAUUCUUUUUCUUUUAUAGCAAUUAAUAACAAAUUAACAAAAUGACAUAGGAAUUCAUGAGAAGAAAAAACAAAAGCCAUUGUAUUAUCGUACUCCUAAUUGUCAUUUUGGUUGGGCCAUCUUAUCAAACACAUAGCCAUACAAAUUGUUUAGUCAGAGAUUAGGCAAAAUUAUCCAUUUCCUCAUUGAGAUUCAAACUUCUAAAUUUCGAUACUAAAUUUAAAGCAUAAUACUUCCUCAGUCUCAAUUUAUGUGACUUACUUUUAUUUUUAGUCAGUCCCAAAAAGAAUGACAUAUUUUUAUACUAAGUAACAAUUUAACUAUAAAAUGUUUAUUUUACCCUACAACCACACAAAUUUCUAUCAUUCAUUUUGGACCACAAAUUUUAAAAGUCUUUCUUUCUUUCUUAAACUCCGUACCGAGUCAAACUAUCUCACAUAAAAUGAGACGAAGGGAGUAUAUAAAUAUUUUUGAAUUGAUAUCAUCUGAUAUCUACAUUCUCUAAUUUUGAAUGUGCAUAAAUAAACACUUAAGUUUAUAUAAAAUUGUACAAGUAAACAUAUUCAUCCUUAAUGACGUUCUAUUUCAUAACUCACAUAUGUAUAAUGCCAUGUACGACGCACGUGUCUAACUUUUAAAAAAAUAAAUAAAUUUUACUCUAUGUAUUUAGAAAACUAGUGUUCUAUAAGGGUGUGUUUGGUAUGAAGGAAAAUGUUUUCCUAGAAAACAAGUUGAUUUUUGACUUAUUUUCUCAUGUUUGGUUGGUGAGUAGAAAAUAUUUUCCGGAAAAGAUUUUUAGUGUUUGAUUUAUGAAUGAAUUUUUUUUUUGAGAAAUAUAUUUUAUUUUUACUAGAGUAGAAAAUAAUUUUUGAAAUUGAAAAUAUUUUUUAAAAACAAACUUAAUUUGUUUUGGGGUUGGGGGCUGNNNNNNNNNNNNNNNNNNNNNNNNNNNNNNNNNNNNNNNNNNNNNNNNNNNNNNNNNNNNNNNNNNNNNNNNNNNNNNNNNNNNNNNNNNNNNNNNNNNNNNNNNNNNNNNNNNNNNNNNNNNNNNNNNNNNNNNNNNNNNNNNNNNNNNNNNNNNNNNNNNNNNNNNNNNNNNNNNNNNNNNNNNNNNNNNNNNNNNNNNNNNNNNNNNNNNNNNNNNNNNNNNNNNNNNNNNNNNNNNNNNNNNNNNNNNNNNNNNNNNNNNNNNNNNNNNNNNNNNNNNNNNNNNNNNNNNNNNNNNNNNNNNNNNNNNNNNNNNNNNNNNNNNNNNNNNNNNNNNNNNNNNNNNNNNNNNNNNNNNNNNNNNNNNNNNNNNNNNNNNNNNNNNNNNNNNNNNNNNNNNNNNNNNNNNNNNNNNNNNNNNNNNNNNNNNNNNNNNNNNNNNNNNNNNNNNNNNNNNNNNNNNNNNNNNNNNNNNNNNNNNNNNNNNNNNNNNNNNNNNNNNNNNNNNNNNNNNNNNNNNNNNNNNNNNNNNNNNNNNNNCUGAUAGGGGGGUUGAUGGGGAAGGGGGCCAGGGUAGUGGGUGGGGGGUAAAAAAAUAAAAAAUUGAAAUUAGAAAUAUCUUUUAAAAAUAAUUUUUAAUAUAUUUUUUUGGGAGGGGGUGGGGGUAGGGUAAAAAAAUUGAAUUUAAAAACAAGCUUUAAUUUUUUUUUAUUUUUUUUUGGUGGGUGAUUUGAGGGUAGGAACAAAAUAAAUUGAUUUUUUCAACAAAAAUAUAAUUGUAAUUUGAAGUUGGAAGGGAGUUUUGGAAAAUGUUUUCCUUAAGUUUAGAAGGAAAGUCAUUUUCCUUAAAUUUAAAGAAAAUAAAUUGAUUUGGAAAACAUUUUCCAAAAUAUUUAGCCCAACCAAACAUGAGAAAAUUGGAAAACAUUUUCAUACCAAACACACCCUAAAUACUUUACGUUCUUCUCGGGAUCCCUCACAAUUAUUACUUCUCAGUUACAAAUCUUUUGACUCUUUUUCUUCAACCAGAAAAGGAAAAAAAAUUAUUGUUUUCUCUUUUCAGUCCAAACCAGAUCUGUUAUCGCUCUAAAAAGGUAUGUUUCAAGCUUUCAAAUUUUCUAUUUCAACUCAUAAUUAUGGUCCAAGAUUCGAUUUUGUUUACAGAAAUGUGGUUUUUUUUCAAGAUUCAAAUAAGUUGUUUUUCAGGGAUUUGUAAUUUUGUUGAUUUUGUGAUUUGCAGAGACUGUAAUGUCGUCUGUGGUGAAAGAUUUGCAUUCAAAUGUAGAGAAAUCUGAGACCCCUUUGAAGCCAUUCAAGAUUUUCGUAGGCUAUGAUCCACGAGAAGACGUUGCGUAUGAGGUUUGUCGUUAUUCCCUUCUGAAAAGAUCAUCAAUCCCACUUGAGAUAACACCCAUUAAGCAAUGUGAGUUGAGGGAGCAGGGUCUGUAUUGGCGUGAAAGAGGGAAAUUGGAAAGUACUGAGUUUUCAUUUUCGCGAUUUUUGACUCCUUAUUUGGCAGAUUAUGAGGGUUGGGCUAUGUUUGUUGAUUGUGAUUUCUUGUACUUAGGGGAUAUUAAAGAAUUGAGGGAUAUGGUUGAUGAUAAAUAUGCUUUAAUGUGUGUACAACAUGAUUAUACUCCUAAAGAGACUACGAAAAUGGACGGUGCAGUGCAAACGGUUUAUCCUAGGAAGAAUUGGUCGUCUAUGGUUCUCUAUAACUGUGGACAUCCAAAGAACCGGGGACUAACACCCGAGGUGGUGAAUUCUGAGUCUGGGGCAUUUCUUCAUCGCUUCAUGUGGUUGGAGGAUGAGGAGAUUGGGGAGGUUCCAUUUGUGUGGAACUUUCUUGUGGGGCAUAAUAAGGUUGUUGAAGGUGAUCCAGCUACAUUUCCUAAGGCGAUUCACUAUACACUUGGUGGACCCUGGUUUGAGGCUUGGAAAGAUUGUGAAUUUGGUGAAUUGUGGUUGAAGGAAAUGGAAGAGUCCAAGAAGGCAGAGGAGAAGGUGGUUUAAGCCAAUGUAGACAACAUUGUUUAAAUCGCAGGGUGUAUGUUAAGGUAAUCAGCUGGUGGUUAUUGUUGUAAGUGUGUUCAGUGAUUAGAAGGUUAUGCCAUUUAUUUAAUCUUCCACAUUAUUUAUUUUGUAUUUUCUCACUUCGAGAUUCUUUGUAAUUCAAGCCAAUAUUUAUUCUGUGUUGCUAUAUCUGAUAAGCAGACUUUUAAGUCAUCUAGAGUUGUAUUAUAAUUGUAAUAGAUGUCUGUUAGUAUAGAAGGUAGUAGAUUGUGUGAUGAUCUACAAAUUUAUUAUUGAUAUCUGCUCUGGAUUUGUAAUUUGGUUUCAUUAAUGAGAAACGAUGGAGGUUUGGUUGCUUCUGUAAUUUGGUUUUAGGAAAUGCCCCUUCUCCCCUCUCUUCCUGCAAGAUGUUUUUUUUGAGAAUUAAUUCUGUAUUGAGCAUUGGUGUGUUUUCAAGAAGCUUCUUGAGCUUAUCAUAAGGUGUUGAGCAAAAAGUAACUUUUCUUAGUUUGAGUUAUCUAUCACUUUGACGGUAUCAUUGUCAUCUUUUUAUGCUUUGGGUUUUCUUUUGGGGAGGAUGGUGGUUGAGUAGGAGGUGAGUUAUCAAGAAAGCACUUUGAAGAAGUGGGUUGUUCGUAUAAUUGCUCAUUUAUGCUUGUGCUGCCUCAACUUACAAUAGUGAGACUGAUCGUGUCUGUGCUUUAGCCUAACAGCUAAAUUAGAAGCCGUUGCCUUAAUGUCCAUCUGCCCUUGUGGUUAUUCUUCUCAGACAAUUUGCUUGUCCUUCUAAUUCUUUUUGCUUGGUAGAAAUGAUGCUAUCUCUUAUCUUUUAUUCUCUUAAGCAAUGGGGUAUCAUUUGUCACUUAAAUCUGCACUGAUUGAGAUGUUAUUUGCCAACACUCAUUACUUCCUUUUUAAUCUAUACUCCCCUUUGUCUAUGGUUAAACUGAUUUUUUUGUGGCACUCUGUCCCUUUGUUCUCUUUUAUGGUCACUAGCUUCUGCUAUUUUGGGAUUGUUUUUUCCAGGUAAUAAAUGUAAAACAAUAGUCUAUUCAAAGAGAAAAUAAGAGUGUUUCUAUGCAUAUCACUUCUUAAUGUGUAAGCAUACAUUGAUCUAAUCUAACAUCUUUCUAAAGAUAUGCUUGUACUAGACAUCAUAGCUUAUAUUUACCUUCCGUUUCCCGGAAGACGUAUUUGGAUUUGCGGAGUGACUGACCUUUGUUUCAAACUUACUUUCUGCUGGCAGCGGUAUUUCUCCGUGAAAGUUGAUUAACACUGCUGAUUGCAUAAGCAUCAGAUGCUGUAGAGGAUUGUUGGCCACUGGCCAGUCUUCUCCUCAGAAUUCUACCUCUUAAUGUGGUAAAUCUACCUUUCCUAGAUUUUGAACUUCCUAAUUCUAAACAUAUCUAUCAUUAUUCUACAGUGCACUUACUUAUUUUCAUAGUUUAAGAGUUUAUUUAGGUAUCCUACCCUUAGAUUGUUUGAUUAAACAUUACAUUGGAUGUGAAGAAUUUUACAUUUGUGCAGAUAACAUUUAUAACUUCUGAUUAUUAUUAGUUUGAUCAGCAUAAGUCAGUGGUUUAGUGUGUAUAGAUAAAUCUAUGUUGCUCUUACUCUUCAAAAUCUUUGCCGCACCCAUGUUGACACGACAUGGAUGUGGCACACCAGAUUUGGUCAACUUACCUUCGGUGCUUUUUGACUACAUCUAUUACCAAAAGUGUAGAUUGAUUGGGUAUUUUGUUUGAUUUUUGGGUUUAUGUCAUGUAGUCAUAUAAAGUAUGAGAAUGUUUGGUUGUUACACUAGAUAUUUUAUGAAUAAAAUAUUAGGUAUUAUAAAGAAUUAACUUUUAUUAGUUCUAGUUCGAUAGGUUUAAUUAAUCAAAGAUAUAUACUUUAUAUGAUAAUAUGCAUUUAUUGGCUUAUCUCAAUACCCGCUUCUGCACUCAAAUUCAUACCCUGAAUCCUAAAAUUUAUAUGACUGAGAAGCCAACCUUUAGAUCCACACCCGAGUCCAAGCAAUUUAGCAUAAACUUCUCGUUUACUUUGGAACACUACAGAUAAGCUGGCUUGACCGAACCUGUUUGUGGCUUUGUGCCUUUGUAGCUCAUUGAGUAUCACAUACUCCAACUUUAUUUAACUCAACAUUUAUGCUGGCGCCAUAUGGGUAUGAAGCAUACUUUUUCCACCUGUGGGCUCAUCGUCGGUCCCUUAUUAUUUUUGGAUUGGGAUUGAUAAUGUUUUUACAACCUGAUAUGUGAAUUUUCUGGAGUGGACACAAGUCACAAUAUUUCCUAAUUCAGGAGUCAAUUUAUCAUAAUUCUCGAGUUCAUUUGCUUCUUUUUUAAGGCUGAAGAGUAUGAUCUCUCAUGUUAUUACUGGUUGCACUAACUUGUUUCUGUUUCAAACCUAAACAAUAAUCACAAUUCCAACUACGAACUUGUUAGCUUGUAACGAUAACUUGUAUCAGUUUCAAACUCCUCAUAAGCAGUAACAUGUCAACAAUCCUGAAAAUGAUAUCACUACGAUGAUUGUGGUGCUUAUUAAUGAGGCAUUAGUAGUACUGUAACUUUAUGAGCCUGAUAGCGAGGGAAACAAUAUUUUUAGAAUGAAGUUAGGCUAACUUUUUGUGUUUUUUCAGGUAACUGCAACAGAAAAGAGAGGAAUCCUUCAAUAUGCUCAAAUGAUUGAGGUUUCAAUGUGAAAGUCGAGUUCAGAAGAUCACGUAAUGUACAACAAUAAUGUAAGGUAGCUCAUGAUGAAGUCUACAUGUGUAUGAUUGAACUUGGCAGUACCCUCAUUGUAGUAAUCCAGCUACACUACUUUUUUUUGCUGAUGAGAUCAUCUGUCUGUUGAAUGAGCAAUUUUUGUAAAAUCAUUGAGCGAUUGUACAGUCUACCCUCCCCAUACCUCACUCGUGGGAUUACACUAGAUAUGUUGUUGUUGUUCAUUGAACAAUUGUUACUUGUGAUCCCAUUGGGCCUCGUGGAUUUCUCGGUUAUAAAAAAAGUUGCAGUCUUGUUGAAAUGAUGAUUAGUAGGAGUACCUGUUAUUUUAACAUGAUUUUAGGUUUUAAAAAAAACCUGUAGUCUUUCCUCACAUCUCUGUCAUUUGAGAUAACUUUGAUAGAUCCUUCUAGGUUUUGUGGAAACAACUAAUGCCACACGUUUCAUGUUUCUCUACCCUACGACAGGGACUUAAUACCAAUCUUUCCUAUCAUACUGCUGUUACUAAUUUUUACUUCCUUUAUUCUCCGAAGAUGGCGGAGCUAGAAAUUUAUAUAAGGGUAUUCAACAAAUAUUGAGUGUAAAUCAUUAUGUCUUUUUGGUAAUGUAUGAGUAAGUUGAUACUCUAACAAUGUCUACUGAAAAAAUGAGAAAGAUAUGUACACUGGCCAAUUAUGAGAAGACAAGUAGUAUAAUACUGAAAAUGACCAAAUCCAAAUUUCUAAUUAAUGCCUGAUAUAUUAUAAUUGAGACAAAUCAUGUGUCUUACUCUACACAGACUUUUGAGUUGUCUUUAUAAACCAUAUACUGAAAGUGUUUUUUUUUUUAAAAAAAAUCUUGUCAAGCUAUAAAGCAAAAGCUCUCUCUUUAGUUGAAUAUUAGAGAAGAAGUAGAAAAAUGGAUGCACCACAAUAUCAAGAGAUGUCUUAUCUUGAACAUGUCAAACGUCGACGCGAGGAAAAAGGUUGCCUUUACGCUUGGUUUGUACUUUUUCACAUCUAUGGAUUUUUUUGCAUUUACGAGUUUUAGAUAUCAAUUGACAUCUGUGCCCUUCAAUUUUGAGUGUGUACAUACUUAAACAUGUAUAAAGUUGAACAAGUAGAUGCACAUAUUCUACGUGACACAUACAUGUAAGACGCCACGUAGGAUGUCGUGUAGGACGUGAAUUGCUACAAAGUAUGCUAAGUAGGAUGCGUGUAUCUACUUGUUCAACUCUAUACAAGUUUAAGUGCCUACUUGUGAUUUGUAAACUUGGAAGGCAUAUAUGCCAAAAGCUAAGUGAGAUGACAUGUUUAUGUAAUAUGCUAGUUUUGUUACCUAUCUUUUUUACUUUGGCUAGGCCUCUGAAGACAUCUUUUGACCUUAUUUUGAUCACUAAAGGCAUCUUCUGACCUUAUUCUGCUUUGAUCCCCCAAUAUUGCAGGGGGUGGGGAGGGGUGCUCUUUUUUGUUUUUUUUUAGUUUUGGAUAUGUUGUUUAUUCACUAGACUAAAAAAGGGGAAGAUUGCCCCCAAGGCCUAGCUCAAGUGGCAAAAGGUGGAGGAUUUGUGGCUUAGGUCGCAGGUUCAAGCCCCACACCAUGCAAAGCGAAGCCCGGUAUUUAAGUGGAGAAGGGUAGAGGGGCGGGCCCAUUAUCCACCGAGUUUAGAAGGCUGUGAUUGGUCCAAAGGGCAGGUCACAGACGGAUUUCUUUUUUAUAAAAAAAAAGAAAAGGGAAAGAUUGAUGGUAAUCUUUUCUAGAAGUAAAAACUGAAUAAUCAACAUGUUUAUGGGGUUUAAAACUUGGAAGCAUAAGAAACUGGAAUUGAUUGACCAAAGUAAGCCAUUAUUAAAAUCAAUUCAUCAACAUAAUACGUUUUUUUGAAAUUUUACAAAACUAGUAUAAACGUAGUUGUCAGUAGCAUUUUAGGUUAUAUUUUAUUCAAAAAAAAAUAAUAACAAAAAGACAAAAAUCUGACAGAAUAAACAAACAUAAAACAUUAUUAUCAGUAACGUUUUAUAAUUUGUUACUCUGAAGCACGUUUUAUUGCUAAAACGUGACUCACAGUAACGUUUCUCUGGAAUGACUGAAAUUCAAUCUUGUACAUGCCUCAUUCAUUAUUCAAAUUUCUACUAUUAAAAUGGAUAGAUAUAUUUUGGCUAAUUAAGAACAAAUCAGAAAUUUGCUGCUGGAUCUCCACGUCUCGUUUACAGUUGUUUCGCUUUAGCAUCUGCAGUAGCUACUAUUUUGCAUUUCGUACUCUGUAAUUAAGCAGUUUCCUUUGUUCGAUGGUCUCUGCAUGGCCAUCUUCCUUCUAAGGUUGAACCUUGCAAUGAUGUUCUAAUGGAUGUAAAUUUUCAGAUUGUUUGUACUUAAAUUGAAAGUUUUUUACCAAUUUCUAUCAAGUGAAAACGUUUCGGAAGGUGGAGAAUUUUCCUCAAAUGCUUGUCUUGGUUUACUUUACCCUUCCUAGACACCACUCAUGGGAUUACAUCCGGUAUGAAGUGAAUAUAUGUGUAAUAUAUAUAUAUAUAUAUUCGAUUUAAUAGUGGAAAUUUGAAUAAUGAAUGAGACAUGUACAAGAUUGAAUUUCAAUUUUCAGUCAUUCUAGAGAAACGUUACUGUGAAUCACGUUUUAGCUGUAAAACGUGCCUCAGAGUAACGAAUUAUAAAACGUCACUGACAAUAACGUUUUAUGUCUGUAUACUCUGUCAGAUUUUUAUCUUUUUGUUAUUGAUUUUUUUGAAUAAAAUAUAACCUAAAACAUUACUGAAAACUACGUAUAUACUAGUUUUGUAAAAAAAAUUUAAAAACAUAUUAUUUUGGUGAAUUGAUUUUAAUAAUGACUUACUUUGGUAAAAAAUUCCAAGAAACUGACAAAUUUGUGUAGAAGCUUAAAAUUUUCAUCACUGACGUACUUAGAUGAGCUUGAGUAGAGCGAUAUAAACGAUGAGGAUUCAUAUAACUAACUCUAACUUAGGGAUCAAGAUUUGAGGCAUAGCGUUUUUCUUCUAAUUUUAUUUGGCAUUAAUACAAUAUGGAUAGUAAGACAGAUUUACUUAAUGCAGUGUGUUCACAAUGUGUUGCUGCUUCUGUUGCUACGAGACAUGUGAGUGCUGUCUGGACAUGCUCUGCUGCUGUACUUGAUGUCCCUCCUAGCCAUGCCAACCCUGUGUUAAGCUAAAAAUGGAAUUUGUUUCCUUGUUUUCUCACACUAUGUUUCUUCCACGUCUCUUUUGUUACCUCCCACUGUAUGUUUAAAAACUGUGAAGUUGAAUAAACUUGUGCUUUUAAGUCAUUUUCUAUAGAAAUCUUUUUUUUCUUUCAACGUAGAACAUUUUAUGUUAUCUGUUUGUUUGGUGUGAGUACAAAAAUUCUCCAUUUUGAUGAAACAUGAACUCUGUCAUACCAAACACACUAGAGUUGUUAAACUAGAUAAAUGGUUAGCGCAAAGAAGUUAUAAAUACAGUUCCCUUUUGGACUACUAGAGUUAGGUCUUUGGCAUAUUUGCAUCAAAUAUAAGUCAUUACCAGAGAAGGUUUAUGGUCACAAGAUAGGCCCAAUAAACACCAAGUCAAAAGAAAGUAACUCGAACAACAACAAAAUAAUAGACAUUUUUACCUUCACAUAUGGCUUGAUGUACAGUAUUAAACUUGAAAUACAACUGAAGACACACUCAGGUGGAAAGAACGCUUGUGAGGGUUUAAUUUUUGCACAAAAUCAAUCGAGGAUCUAAAUUAAACAAUGAAACUCGAGCAAAAUUUUGUUCAAACAUUUUACCUUCACAUGUGGCUUAAUUUACAAUAGUACAUUUGAAUGUACAAUUGAAGACAUUCUUAGGAGGAAAUGAUGCUUGCGAAGAUUAUUAUGAUCUUUGCAUAAUAAUCUAUCAAGGAUCAAAAGUAACUCCAUUACUGCAGAUUUACCUUAGCAACCGAGGAUGGGAUUUCUCCCUUCAUCAAUAUCAAUGAGAAGAACGUGCUCCGGAUCUGAGCCAGAAGGUCCUUCUGAGUACAGUGUGGGAAGAUAAGCCUUGUAUGCUGGCAAGUAGCGGGAUACAAAGUCCUUCACCUGUGAAAAGUGGAACAAAAUAAAAAAUUGGAAAACGUUCCUCUAAAGCAUUAACUGACGGUUUUCAUUUCUUUUUUGAGAAAGAAUACACAUAAAGUUUUACCUCCUCAUCAGUCAUCCCAGCCUUCCCAUCAGCUCUCAUUGCAAUCUCCGCCUAAGAACAUCCCACUAGACUAUUUAAACAAAUCGCACAGAAUAAAUAUGGAGCAAAAUGCAGAUGAUAUCACAUAACGAACCUGCAAACGCCAUUGGUAGACAUAACUGGGGUCUUGAAUCUUGAUGACAAUCCAUGACUUGACAAACUUAUGCCAUGCAUCAUAGUAGGUUUCUAAGUUCUUGUUGACCGUCUCUAGCUGCAAUUUCUAAAGUUUCAAUGAUCCAAGAAGAUAGAUCAAAAUAAAAGGCACAAACAUCCAGAGAGAGUCUAGUAUUUGAACCUGUGGAUCAACAGCUUUGACAACUUCAGGUGGAAGGGGUUUGAAACCAAGCAUCCAACCUUCAAACAGAAUCACCUAAUAUCCAAAGUACUGACAAUGACGUGAGGCAAUCUUACCAUUUCACUUGAGUUAGAUCUAUGAGAAAAGUUGUGUUUUUACAGAAGGGAACAUGAUGCUGACAUUCUCACAUUUUAUAUCAUUUUAGAAUUUUAACGUUUACUUUGUGGAAAUGAUGGAAUUGGGGUCGCUCUUUGAAUCAUUAAACAUUAGCUGAACAGAAAACCACUAAUUGCCUGCUCUAAAUAAAAACAACUUCCUACCGGUAGAGGCCCUUCAACCUCUGGCCAUUCGGAGGGAUCAGCUCUGUCACCUCUACCACUGUAAGCAGACUGGAAAUAGAGUUUCAGAAUAAGUAGCACAUAAUAUUAAUAACCCACUGAGACUUACAUGUUAACUAGUCACUCUUACUUACUUUAUCAUAUCUAGGAAGCUUCAUCUUCACACCUGGAUGGAGUUGAAUAUUAGUUAAGCAUAUAGAUGCAGUGCCUAAUUGAAAAGUAGCACAAGCUAAAAAGGUGCAUUCACCUUCUUUCGUCAAUUUACUUAGUGCUGUCAGUGUCUCAACAGACAAUGGAAGAUCAUGGCUUCCAGCAUUUCCACGAAACUGAAGUGAAGAUGAAAAUUUUUAUUUUAUUUUUUUGAGAAAAGAAGAAGUGAAAUUCGUCAUUUUCUACCUCCAAAAGCAAGUUCCCUGGGUUGCUGUCUCUUAGUUUCGCCUAAAACCACAUAAUGUGUCAGCAUUGGUGAUAAUACACAGACGGAAACUAGCAAGCAGCAAACUUGUGAAACAUUUACCUGUUCUUCUGCUGUUAAGUAAAAAUCAUCAAUGGAUAUUGUAGCAGCUCUCCUGAUGUUAUGUGUAAGCAUAAUGUUUGGUUAUUUCUGUCCCACAGAGGAAGCAAAAACUCAUGAAAGCAACUUACCUCCCUGUGAUUUUAAAAAGAUAUUCUAAUGCAAAUACUAGCGUUGUCUUUCCACAUCCUUGAGGCGCACUGAAGCCAAUCUACAUGCCAAGAAUAUAUCUUAUCUUAGGUGUAUUUAUGUCUACCUUUUCUAAUCAGACCAGCAUGAUAUUGACCUUAAUGGAAAUCAAACACACAAGAACCAAGUGAAUAAUAAAAAUGUGUCUACCACCAAUGGAGGGAUUUCUUCUUCUUCUUUGAACUUGGAACUAUGCUGCGAAAUUUCCUGUUCACACCACAGGAAGACUGGAAUAUAGUAGUGGUAGAUUCGAAUUUUUUGGGCCUCGUUGAGAGCCAACUGGUUGAGCUGAAACAAUCUACAAAGCCGUAACCCAUACUCUAUCCACUUGUCAAUGGACUCAGCCACCUUUUCUGCCGUCAGACCUAUCUUACUGAUGAGGGGGCCUGAGCAUAUGAAUUCAUAAAGAUCAUCCACAGAAGAAACUUGUGCUAUUUCUUUUGAAGACACAGCAUUCAAUGGACCUUGCUUCCUUCCAUUAGGGGAAAAAUUAUCACAAGAAGCAGAUUUAUCUUGCAUCCAUGAAUAUCCACUGCCUGCACAACCAUGAUCAGCCAUGAAUGCAAAAGGGUGAAAGAAUAUGACAGGGCAGCAUUUUCACGGAAGUAACACUAAUGGUCAUCAACUGACACAAUAAAUAAACCAUAUAGAUUACAAGAAGUAAAAAAGAAAGAUCCACGGCAUACAGUUAGCUAUUCAUCUUUUUCACUAUGUAGCAAAACUUGCAUCUAGGCUUACACCUUGAGUUUGUCUUUCAUCUCAUAAAAUAAAAAUUGAAUUUCCAAAACCUAUCACAAAUUUUGUAUAUGGAUUUGAAAUUAGAAGAAUAACCUUCGUUCAAAGUUGAUUCCUUUCAUUUCAAAAGAAAAAAGGGAAACAAGAAUAACCUUCAGAGUUUUAUUUAAUACUUUGUUUGGUAGGAUUUCCAGCCUAUGUAUAACUAAUACACACUCAAUUUCAGUAAUAUAGAGUUAUAGCUAAUACAUAGCAAACCAUGUUAUAUUAGUGAUACAAAGGCUAUUAAUAUAUAAAUAAGCAUGGUUAAAGACAAAGCGGUCGUUAAAACAACAUUACAAAUAGUGGAUAAGAAAUAAUCUCCGCAUUACUAAUACACCCUAUUUUGGAGAAUCUUAGUAGCUCAGUUGGUUGACUAUCUAAACUUUCACUUUAUUGGUGAGGGUUCAAUGUUACUCGAUUGCAGAAAUUCACAAUGAACUCGAGGAUCGAAGCAUUGUUUCAGGAGUUUCUCAAAAAAACAGUUAGUAAGGAAGAAGAAGAAUUGAGCGAGAGAGAGAAAUUUGUAUAUUUCAUAUCCUGAUUGUAAAGUGAUUUGAUUACAGGCUAUAUAGUAAUUGAACUCUUAAGCUAAAACAGAAUUUGUUACCAACCAACUGCUCUUAGCUAACUUUCACUGUAGCUAACUAACCAAUGGAACAGUAACUAAUCAUGUAUCAUUCAAUUCUCCCACCCUGUAAUCCCCUCCUCCCCCAUUUCCCCUUCCCCUACCCACGAUCUUUUUGGAAAAGAAAAAAGAACAUAUUCAGUACUAUUGUCAAACCGACCAAAGCUAGGCUUAAUCUGUUCAACCAAGUUAUCGUCACAGGAAUAUUUCCAGUCCUAUGAAAAAACCCUAUUUUAGCAACUGCAAGAUCGAUCAACUAUAUAAGCAGGCACCAAGCAUUUAUGUGCAAGAACAGCUAAUUAUCUGCCAAUUACAAGAAUCUUGCAAUAUAAGUUCACACCCGCUUCGAACAAGGAAACUCACAAAGAAAUUAUAGUAGGAACCAAGUUACAAUAAUUGAAAAUUGAAUUGAAGCAAAACAAAAGUAGAGUUGAAAUUUAAAACCUGAUGAAUUGGAGAGGUGAGGCAACAUUUGAGAGGAUAAAGUCGGACGCUUUGCUCUUGGGUUUCCAGAAAGGGGAAAAUUUGUCGACCCGAUUUUCCAGCAUUUGAAAUCGCCGCAAUUGUAAAUAUUAUUAUUAAAAUCAUAAAAAUGUGGAAAUCGUAAAGAAUAUGAUAAUGAUGAUGAUGUGGAUGAAGCUGACAGCUGCCAUGGCGACGGAGUCUGAGAUAAUAUAUUCAAUCCCGCCAUUGUCGGCUCUCUCUCUCUCUUUCUUUCACAUACACACAGUGAGUGAGAGAAGUUCUUAGCAAGUGUGUGUGUGUGUGUUGCAGCUUUUUGUGGAUACGUCAGUUACAAAACGAUCGGUUAAGAUUUGGCCAAAAGGUAUCUGACCUGAAAGCAAAGCUGGAUUUUUUUUAUGGGGACAAAAAGAAUGAGGAAAACAAUAACUAACUAACAUACCGAAAUACGUUUAAGACCACAAGAAUCAAAUAAUAUUUUUCAUAGGCUUUUUAGUACCAGGGACAAAAUCUUUAGUGUGAAUCCAGAUAAAAUAAUUUAAUAUUAUAAAUAUUUAAAAUUUAUUUAAGAUCAUAAGAUUCAAAAGAAAUUCUAUUUGAUAUUUCGAAUAGUAAUAGUGUUAGUUAAAAAUAAAAUCUAGGGAUUGCUACCUUCUUCAACCCCACCCCCUUAAUAGAGGAAAAACAAAAUUUAAAGUACUUGGUUCAUAACAUAAAGUUGAUCACAACUAUCAUUUUUUAAAUUAUGUAAAAACACUAUAGAUCGUACAUAGUUCUUGAGUCGAGGGUAUACGAGAUAUAAUCUCUUUACCUCACAAACGUAGGAUAGAAUCUGUGUACACUUAACCUUUCGAGAUCUCACUUGUGAGACCAUAUUGGGUAUGUUAUACUAGAAAUCAUACAUAGUAGUUUUUUAAAAGAUUGUAGGAAGAAAAACAUGACUCCCUGAAAUAGUGCCAUAUAUUAUGGGAAACAAUUAUUUUAUAAGCAAAUGAUAUAGAAGAUUAAGACAAAUCAUUCUAAAUUACAAAAGCUGGCAAAGGUAACAGAGUUGAAAAAAAUAGCAUGUACAAAAUUACCUGCAUGAUUUUCUUGAAUUACAACUGAGAAAGUUGCUCAUUUUUUACUGCUAAACUUGCUAAGUUUAAGUAUACUCCUAGUAUGUCAAAACCUUUACAGCAAAAGAGUGGACAAAAGGAACACUCAAUAUAAUGUGAAUUUGAAUCAGUUACUCUCAUAAAAAAAGCCUAGGGAGGAGCCAAGUUGCAAAAAAGCCCCUUUAUAGAAUAUGUCAUCUGCUUCAGCAUUGCUGCUCCAUUUGGUUAGUCUUCUUAUAUCUUCAAAUUUCAUGUUUGGAACAGUGUCUCAAGUAGCUUUGGCGAAGACAAACACGCGACUGACUUGAACUGUUGGCAUAGGAAAAAGAGACACUUAUUAAGCAGCUACACAUAAUGACAGCUCAAAUGUGCUACUUUUGAAUAAUAACAUACAAGUACCUCAUCUUGUCGGUAUUUAGCACGUAUGACGUUUAGAAGGCAGUUAUUUGUAUUCAACUGUAGACCUUGCAGUGCAAGAACUGUGGUUUUCAGAUCUUGAGCCUUGUAAUAGGUAUAGUGCUCCAGUGUUGGACUCUGUCAAAGUUGCAGGCAUAAGUUCUACACGCCAGAGGCACGCAAAAGCUAACGAAUUAAAGUAAAAGAAAACCAGUAUAUUCAAGAAGCAAACCCAUGGGUGGCUUGACUGAUCUAGUGUCCAUCUUGCAAGGAAUACAGAUGAUGCAGCAAUAGCAGACGGGGUGAAUUUCAAGAAGCCAUAUUCGAGCAAUGUCAGUUCGGUGAGAUAAUUAGCCAAGAACUCUAGCUCCAGAUUGGGAUUCUGAAAUUAUGUAUCAUUAAGCAAUACGAUUAUACUUCAGUACAGAGAAAAGUUCUGUUAUCAUUCAAGUGAUGCACAUUAAUUCAUUACCUUGUAAGAAGCUUGUGCUGCUCUUACAAAUCUCCUACAAAUAGCAUCAUACAUAUGAAGAUGAAAAUUUUCAGUUUUCACAUAGACAAAAGAAAAAGAAACACUAUGCUGUUAUACACGUGUAAAAAUAAACCAUGGCUGAAACAAAAGUACCUGAGAAAGGUCUUUGCAGUUGGAGUUGAGAGUCGGAAACCUAGAAAGUUCAGAACAAGAAUCUCCAUUGCCAGGACCUGCUCCACACUUUAAUAUAUCAGAACCUUCAGUUUGUCCAACUAGUAUAUAAUAAUAUCUGAAAACCAUUUUUUUUCUGGGAGUUCUGUAAAAUGAUAGAGAAGGAAAGGGGAAGGGGGAGGUGUCGACAUCUUCUUUAGUAACCAAGAGGUUUCAUGCAGAUAUAGUAUUUCCUCUGAACUGUACCCAUAAAAUCACUGUUGACAGUAUGCUGCAUAGAAUUGCAUUUCUUGUAGGAGUUCGACGAGAUUCUCUCACUAAUAAAUAUUAAUGAAACAGAAGACACAGAUCUACUUCCAAUAUUUGCAAGCUUAAAAUAAGCAUAGAGAUUCAUGUAGACCUACAAGUUCUAGAACUUAAGAAAAACCUCAAAAGCUUGAAGGGGAAUAGACCCCCUGAUAAUUAUACCAAAUGAUAUACAUUACACAAUAACACAUAUAGAGAACGUAAACUGCAUGUGAAGUUUAGAGAGGAGAGAUAUAUGAAUGAUCAAGUUCAUCAAUUAGGUUCUCCAUGGGAAGUACAGAACAGAACCCAAAGACAUCAUCUUAAUAUACCGGAACUAUGCUUGUUCUUCCCACCCUUUCUCGUCACGUAAUGCAGAAAUUCAAGAUCCUGAUAGCGAGAACUUGAAAGAGCAGUAUUCUACCUCAUUUUUCGUGUAAGCAUUAUCAGUGAUGAAACAGAACUCCUCAACACGUGGACCACACAUCUCUUCAUAUUUCCUUCAAAAUUGAAAGAAAAACCCACGUUCAGCCAGAUAAAAUGUAAUUCUUUAUUCAGGGAUAAAAGGGAAGAUUUUUUAAUACAAAGUGCAAAGUGAUGGCAAAAAUGCUUGAUGUCCUCUUUUUUUACAGGUGAAGGCACACUGCAGUCUGCAAAUGUGGCUACAUAGGAGCAUUUCUUCCUAAACACACAUAUUUAUGGAAUGACGAGAUUUGUUUUGUCAGAUUCUAAAAUGAGUGGAGUCCUUAGUCUAGGCCCUAUAUGCACUUUGUAGCUAAGACGUUUCCAACUAUUAGGCAUGGCCAACCGAUCCAAAGAUUCUGAAGUAGACUUCUGUUUAAUUUAGAAGGAAAGGAUCCUGUAUUUCUUCGACUUGAGUUUCCUUCUCUUUUAAGCAUUUCAAGAAAAUGUUUCCCCAAAAAGCAAUAUUUCAAAGAACCUAUAGUAGUAAAAACAGUUGUGUCGAGCUUACGAGGCAACUAGCAUGCAAGUGAUUCCAAGGAGCUGCAGGUUUUUCCUUUCCACAUAGUUUUGAGAGAGAAAUAGAUCGAUAAAGUGAACAGCAAGGUAGAGUGUAUCUGGCACCAACUUAUAUUCCUCUGACACCUGACACAAGAUUAGACAAUGACCUUAGCAACCAGCAUUCUUAUAAAGCAUUUCUAAAAUCAGCAGGCAACUAACAACCAUUCUGAGCUGAAAAGGUAAAGGAAGGGCCAGAGAGGCAGGACGAAUCCAUCAUCAAGUUGAAAUUAUACGGACUUAACUAGCACCAAAUUCACAAGAAUCUUACGAAUGAUUUAUAUUUUAUCAUAAGUAAAAAAUCACAUACGAUCUUUACAAGCCUUAUUCUAAACUGAUCUAAGAUGAAUCAGCACCAGAUGAUGAAAACCAAAAUGAAAAUGUAAGUUGCUUGUCCAAGUUAAUACUGUUAGGAAAUUGAUCUGUUUCACAUUUAUUUGUUCAAGAUGAAUCAAGUACUAACAAUUAGAAUAUGUCAGCACUGGAAGACAUAACACAAUAUGCUUCAACUAUUCAGUUUCUUUUUUUUUUUUAGAUAAACACCAACUUACCUCCACAAUCCAGUCGACAAGGAUUGCACGCAUACUUUCUGUGAUAUCUUGCUGGAGUGUUUCCAUGAAAUUUGAUUGCGGCCUUCUAAUUAUCUGGAGAAAUACAAAUUAGACUUUGCAUUAGGAUAAGUUUACAGUUGUCCACUGCAACUCAAAAAGACUACGGCUACUACUUGACGCCAUUAUCCUAAAACAAGGAAAUCUCAGAACUUAUACAAGUUGAGAUUUGGAUUCAGAAAAUUAAGCAAAUAAUGCUUAUUAAUAUGCAGAGGAAAACAUUCCAAUAAGUAGGUGUCACAGUGGGAAAGGAUUCUGGAGCUAAAGUAUCCAGCAUUCUUUCAUAAGUGAACAUAUAUUGAAUGUAUGAAGGAGGAUUAGCAAAGAAAAGAACCUAAGUGGUUACAGAUAAAACUGAAAUUAUAACGAAAGUUGAGCAUUGUUGCUGAUUUGUCUAACCCGAAUUUUGAAUAAAACAGUGAAAAAGCAUCCUUGAGUUGCUUGUGCAAAUAUGACCUUUGCCAGAGUGCCAAUUACUUCUUCAACUAAGAAAUCCAGAAGAACUGUGCAAGAAUAUCAAUUAAACGAACCUCUGCAACCCGUAAAUUGUUAUAUAUAUCAUGAGCAUAUUGACUGCAUUGUAGUGGAUCUUUUUUAUCAGAAUCAAUGUCUAUGAAGUCCAACUUUGUUGAUGUUGAUGGUGCCGCAUCACGAACAGCUUUCCCAACCAUGCCUGGUAAAAAGUUCAAUUAGUUUAGUAUGCAAAAAGAAAAACAAUAACAGAACAACAUGGUCGCAAUUACAUGGAACACAACAAAAGCUAGUAGAUAUGAAUCCUUUCUCUAGAGAAAAAUGUCAAAGAAAGAAAGUGUGAUGGAGAAUUACAAUCAUUAUUUAGGUCAAAAACAUAUUCACUACGUACUCAAGAAUAAAGUAAGAGGAUAAGACCAAGGCUUCCUCAUUGAUUUAUAAAUUUUACUACGGAGAAAUCACUUGUUAUUAUCAUCUCUUUUUCUUAAUCAUCCUGUCCAGAACAACCACAAGCUUGUCAAAAGUUAUAUUGUCUCUAUGAAACAAGUUCAAAAGGAAACUAACCUUUUCUUGAAAAACCUUUGAUUUCUACUGGAUUUCCUUGUUGUUCAUGGGACUUUCUGUCUGAGCAACUUUGAUUAAGGCUACUCCCUGCAGUUAGACAAAUCAAGUGAAUAUUCAUAAAACUGACUCAAAUAGUACUUCUCAGAUUAGAAAGACAUGCUUUCAGCAUCUUGACCCAUACUUGGUGGUAACUUGGUUGGAAAUUGAUAGACUUCAGGAUCAACAGAAGUGGUCACAUUAGACACAUUCAUUGAGCUGUUUCCAACCCGCGUGAUCUUCUUCUUCUUCUGACAAUUAAAAUAAACUAAAUCAGAUAAUAACAGGGAUAAAAUGAGCCAGCAGGAAAGUGUAUACACUAUAACCAAGGCUUUAUUGGGAUAAUAUAGAAGCACAUACAACACAUGAAUCCUUGAAUUCGCUAAUGCACAAUACUAUUCUCUACUUGCAAUAUUUCAGAUAUUUCAAACCUCUUACUGAUAUUUAAGGAACUCUACAACAGUCAAUUUAUGAAACUUGUUUCGCAUGGUGUCAAUGACAAUGCAGAUAAUACAAGUAAAAUAGGAAGAACUACUAACUGGGACUUUCACAGCAUUGAGGCAAUCUCCAUUUGAAGUGUUGCAACAUAGAUUUGUGACAUCCUUAAGCACUGGCCGGCAUUUCUGCUCCACACAGGAAGUAAGUGGAACAUUCUUGUUCCUCACCCUGAGGAUUGCCGGGUUAGAACUUAUCUGCAGAGCACGUUUCUGGCCCCGCUGCUUUGGCAGUUCUGCAGUGCUAGCAACCAUGGAUUUUUCAGGGACAGCAGCUCGAGAUCUUGUAACUCGAACCAUGGGCUCAAUUGCAGCUGAGAUUACUGAAUUUUCUCUCUUCAUAGUGAGUGUGGGGGGAAAUGGAAUUAAGCUAGUCAAUUUACUUUUAGUUGAACCCCCUCAUUUACCUGCAAAACUUCUCAAAGUCAGUAACAUGACAUAUCAAGAAUUAUGAAGCUCAAGAAACAAUGAAACUAACAAAACUUAACAUGCUUUAUCAUGGAAGCCAACCAUUAUAAUUUACAGCCAAGGCAAGCUUAAGCUUUCAUGUUGACUAAAUCUAGCACCAAAUAAGGAAGAAUUCAUGUAUAAAUCUUUCCAUAGGACUCCAAUUCACUGGAUAAUACCAUUCAAAAUGAAAUGUGCAUGUCAUAUCAAGAAUAAUGAAGCUCAAGAAACAUUGAAACUAACUGAAACUUAACAUUCUUUAUCAUGGAAGCCAACCAAUAUAAUUUAUAGCCAACGAAAGCUUUCGCUUCAUCUUGACUAAAUCCAACACUUAAUAAGGAAUUCAAGAAUAGAUCUUACCAUAGGAUUCCAGUUCACAGGAUAAUACCAUUCAAAAUGAAAUGUGCAUAAGAAAUGCCCAAUUUCCGGAUCCAUAUUCACAAAAAUAAUACUCCACUCGUCAAAAUAACACGUCCACAUGUCCUACUAAUAUCAAGCAUGAACAUUAAACUAUUAACCAUCAAAAGAAGUACAAAUAUGAAAGAACUUAUUUCUCAAACAACAACAAACAUAUCCCACAAGUGGGGUUUGGUGAGGGUAGAGAGGUCGUCUCCGAUAGACUCUCAGCUCAAAGAAAACAAUAGGAGCGAAGAAACCAAGGCAACAUAUUAAACAAGGCAAAGAACUUACAUCUCCACUAAUGUAAAUGUUCUAAAACUUAAACAGGAAAUCUCAAUGAAGCAGACAGACACCACCAAUGUGGCUCAAAAUCGAACUAUAAUCCAAGAAACGUUUAAAAAUACGUCUUUUACCAAACAUCUAGAUGCCUAAUUAAAGGAAAUUCCUCUACAUUUCUUCUUCUCUACUCCAAGAACUCAAAAUUAUCAGACAAACCCAACGACCCACCUCAAUAAAAUAGAAAAAAAUUAACAAUGUAAGAAGGAAGAUUCAAAAUUUGAUAAUUUCAAGAAACCCCAAAGACCAUAUCAUAUCAGCAAAAUGUUAUUGAACAAAGAAUGUAGAUUAAUAAACCUUGUUUCAGCAUUCAACAGCUACAAGAACAUUCAAGAAUGUGAUCAAGACAGGAUCUUGAUGAAAGAAAAUGGAGAUUGAGAUGGAAGAGAGGCGGGAUAUUGAGUUCAAAGUUCAAAUUCAAGAAAAUUGAAGGAAGGUUAAAAAUGAGAAAAAAAGAAAUUCAAUUAGGGAGUAAUUCUUUAUCUUGGGUUUACAGUAAUGGCCUCUGAGAAAAAGAGAAAAAAAAAACAGAGAGAGGUUUGACUGGUUUGACUAAAACGGUUUUAUAGAACAAAUUAGUAUUGCAAUUUGGUUAUUAUAAGGUAAAACGCGGUCCGAAAAAUGUAAAAUACAAGGACAUCCUAGCUGGCUGUUUUAUUCCUGAAUUACCCUCCUUACUUUGGAAAAUUAUACACAUUUAGUCCUUUACCUAUUAUAGUAGUUUUAUUAUAGUACGUAUACUUGUAUUUUUUAAUCCAUUUUGCUUAAACUAUGAAGUAAAAAAUGUACUAUUAUGAAAAGGUGAAUCACUAAACCUGUUAAAUAUUAAAAUUAUAGGUCAAACGAUCACAGGGAGCAUAAAUUCACGUGAAUCCAAGGAAUUCCCUAGAUACAUCCCUACAUAAAAUUGAGCAAAAAAGAAUGGUGGAUUUAUCAAUUGGCAUUGUAACCUAGCUAUUGUUACAUUUUUGCGACUAAGUAGCUUAUUGUAUUAACUAUGGUCUCGAAAGGGGUAGCUAGAUUACAAUGUAAAUGUAAAGAGAAAUUAAUCGAGAAAAACCACCAUUCACUUACCCUACUCAAGUGACUCUAAUGGCAUAUUUGUAUCAUAUAUCUUUUAUAUAUAAGAGUUUCGAUGUAUCAAUUUGAUUAAUUCAUGAAUCUUUUAUUUAAGAGUUUCGAUGUAUCAAUUUGUGCAUAUCUUGAUUAAUUCAUGAAGCAACUUGCUAUAAGUGUUGUAACUGGAUUCAGACCUAAUAUUUCUGAAUUACUCUCAUACCUAAGCAACUACUAGGUCACUCCCUUGGGAGAUGCUAGUGCCAUGUUUCAGUUGUAUACCAUAGCAUGUCCACUAAAUUGAAAGUCAUGGUCAUAGCUUAGCUAUAUACAUCAGCUUGUAAUUAGGUAGAGAUAUGCACUUAAGAAAUGAGACACAUAUGUAUAAUGGUUGCAUGAGAUAUACUCAGAGAGAUAAAUGAGACACUUCCAUCAUCCAUUUAAGAAAAUUAGGUGUCUGAAAUACUUCAGUUCAAACUAUACAGAAUGGCAAGUUUUAGCUUGCAUUUCCAAUGAUCAAAUUGCAAAGCUUAAAACCCUUCAAUUAUUUAUUAAAGGAUAGAAAGUGUCUUUCAUGGUUUUGUUGAUGACUGAUGUCAAGGAGAACCAGCUGACACUAAAUUUUAGUCUGAGAGAAUCAUGAAACCAUUCCACUAUUUACCAGCUCUUCCAAACCUUUUCUGAGCCUUUCUGCAGCUACUCGACAGUCCUUCUCAAUCAAUCCUCCAAAGGCGAUCCUAACAUAACCUGGACAACCGCUGGAACUUCCAGGGAUCAGAACUAUUCCAUGCCUCUUAGCUAACCAGUGAACUACUUUGAAGUCGUCCAUGUAUUUAUCUGGCAGCUUUGCCCACAGGUAAAUGGCACCUUCUCCCCCUUUAACAGCUUCCUCUCCCAAAGGAGAUAAGGCUUCUUGAAGCACCUCUCUGUUCUUGACAAGGUCUUUAACUUGAUUAGUUACCCAUUCUGGUCCCAUUUCCAUGGAGUAAAGAGCCAGUCGUUGUGAGAUUAUUGAAGCACAAAUCGGUAUGUUGUCCUGAACUUUAAGGAGUUGAGCUGCGAGCCCUUCCACUUCCGAUGGGUAUGCUAUCUGCAUCCAUUAAGACAUGAGUUUAGCUCACUCACAAGAUGAAACAAC